rnacentral:lncRNA from 1 species
UGGUUUGGAAAGGAAUGAAUUACUGGUGUAACACGAGUAAUUGUCGACGUACACUGAGUUCCUAAGUCCCACAGUAAGACGUGAUUAGCUAUAUAUCUCCAUGCAUAGAUGUUUCUAGAACAAUUACUUUUGUUCUCUGUAGCUUCCCUAAAAAAGUUUAUUCCUUGUAGCUCAAUCAAAUUUCAUUUACAUUGCAUUGUUUUUCAUCUCUUUUACAACUAGUCUUGUCAUUUCUUAGGGAGUGUCAAGCAAUAUUAGAAGCGGUCCGAGCUAUUAAAAUGAUCAUGACACUGAUGAUGAGGAGGAUGACAUCUAUGGCAACGAGGGAGAUGAUAGCUGUGGCGAUAAGCAUUAUGAUAAAGUAAAGAUCUGAAGUUUGUUGAAAAUUUAGCUUAUGCAAAUUGUCUGGACCUCUCUAAUACUAUUUUUUGAUUCGACACUUCCUAGAUGGAUUGUUAUUGUAAAUGUAAUUCAUAUGCAACUCAUUAGGUUUGUAAUACCUAGAUUAUGCUAAAUGUUCUUUUGGUCAUGUGCGGUUGUGUAAUUAUGAGAUGUAUCGGAAAUGCCAAUAUUGUGAAAUAUUGUGUAAUAUAUUGCACUUCCCUCUCAGUGAAAUUAAUCAGUGAGGGUUGACUAAUGGCCUAUGGCACAACAAACAUCUUGGGUAAAAAAAUGCAUACAUGCACUUUAGACAGUCGGCGACUUUCUAAAUUGAAGGUGCGAGCUAACCUUUCAACUAAAGGAAUCCCCAAAGGGCUGUAUGCACUAUCAGUAAUUACACUAACCGAUGGUUUGGCUCUCCUCUCAGUUGUGCAUAACCCUGACGGGUUGUAUAUACCCUUGGCUAUUAAGAAAACCGACGGUAAACAAUAACCGUCAGAUGAUAAACACCUGACAGUGAACCGUCGACUAUAAGCGCAUUCGACCUACUGGGAGCCAGGUGUAGGCAACAACAUAUCCGACGGCUCACCGUCGGCUUAUUACCGUGGGCAAAGAUAUAAUAUGAUGGUACCGUCGGUUAUUAGUAUAAUGGCUGACAAAGCAUAGCUGACGGGAGAUGGCCGACGGUGUACCGUCAGUUAUAAGAGUCUCCGACGGUGAACUUAAAUAUCCGACGGUAAUUGGACCAUCGGCUAAAAUGGGAAAUCUAGUAGUGCCAGAUCGUGGCUUCUCCCGCUCUCCCCCUUUUUUAUAAAUCUCUUCCUGGAACCCACGCAAGUACUAUGGUUGCACAUGGGAUCUUCACGUGGGUGGGCAUCCAUCAGGCGCUAUGGAUAUUUAAUUUAUACGUGUGUGACCCCGAUCAGCACUAAGGACACUUGAUUCAUCAUGCACGUUUGCUAGGUUGAUCGAUUCGGGAGAUCUUGUGAGGCCGUAAACCGCCGCUGUGCGUGACACGUGAUCGCUGUCUCCAAUCAACUCGAAUCCGGUUUGUAUUUGAAGUAGCCACGGCGACUUCCAGAUUACCAUAAAGUGGCAGUUUAUCUCGGCAAAACUGAUCCCUUGCCGGUCUUCAGCGGUUCGACGGUGCGGACGGCGCACAGCCAAAAACAUCUCUUGCCAGCUUUUGACCGGCUGUUGGACGUGGAGAUGCAUAGAUGCAACCCUAAAUCUUUCUCGAUCUCAAUCUUGUAUAUACUGUUGCGGAAACCUUCUUCAAUCUUUUACCGAUGAAACUCAUAGUUGAUGUGAAUUCUUCUGCGUCUGUUCUUUAUCAUUGGACCAAUUACGAUCUUCUCGAACCCUGGAAAAGAUCCCUCUAAGAACUUAACACCACCAUGUGCAGACCCCAUGGUGGACGCCAACUGUUGUGGAAUUGUCAUGUCAGAUGUCCUAGCGGAAGGACUUAGUCGUGAGGCCAACGCAUCUAUGUGGUAGCUUAAGAGGGGUUGAGCGGAAUCGAGAAACGCAACACAAGACGAGGAUUUAGACAGCUUCGGGCCCCGAGAAACAUCAUCCGGUAACAACCCUACAUGCUGUUUGAGGCUAGAUCUCAUUAUCAUCACGAGGGAGUCGCCGUAAACCGGCUCUCCUCUAAUUGCGUCUAGCCCUAGAGAUUGUUGUUUUCUUGUCCAUCUUUGGGGAGCCCUGCCCCUCCUUAUAUAAGUUACAGGGGCGGGUUACAUGUAGAGUCCAUCUCAGACUAAGACUUAAACUAUUUUGACUUCCCUUCCUGGGCUUCUUAACGUCUGCCGGUUUAACAUUGUUUGCCGGGUUAUGAUUGACUUAACACCUGCCGGUGCUACCAUCUGUCUUAACUCUGCCGGUUUAACACUCGCCGGUUUACCGUCUGUCUUAGCCAUCUGUCUUGACUUUCUAUCUUAACUCUCCGCCGGUUUACCAUCCGCCGGUUUACCAAGUCCCAGCCGGUUUACAACUCCAGCCGGGUCAUACCGCGGGGUAUAUCCCCGAGACAAAUCGUCCUGUGUCAAGAGUGCUUCGGAAGUAGAGUCAGGUGGCAAGGGAGCUUGGGGAUGUGCUGCUAGCUGAGUUGACGAACGAGUAACUCGUGCAGCUAGUGGUGCUAUGGAAGGUGUUGCAACAACUAGGGUUGUUUCUGCUUGUUUGGUGGCAGCUAUUGGUUUCUAUUUGGCUUGUUCUGCAGCUCCUGUAGCAUGGGAUACCCUGUUUGUACAAUUUUCUGCUGGACUUUGACCUUCUAUUGCACCAUCAGUACCAGCAGAAUCUGCAGGAUUCUUCCGCUUCCCUUUCCGUGUGUCCUUAGUACUAACACCAUCCCUUGUCAUUAUGUGUUCCUUCCUCUCUCUCUGUGCCAUGUUAAGUUAAGCCGACAAGAAAAAUGAAUAACAAUUUAGUUCUUCAGAACAAAUUGAUGUGUGAUACAGAUGAACUGAACUUUGAUGUUAGACAACCACAUGAUAGGAUGAUGUAAUAUGUACGAAAAACAGGACGGCAUGAUAUAAUCAGAACUAUGAUGUGUAAACUAAGAAGAAGACAUUUCACUAAAUUAGAAGCAAUGCAAUGGAAGGUAGACACCAUAUGAAAGAUGCUACAAAUAUCGCUCUGCCAAGUUAACAGUGUCUCGUCAUAACUGGCGUUUAAACAAAUGUGAAGCAAUACAAGAAAUAAAUCAUAUGCAAGAUGCAAACAACAUCACGCUACCAAGUUAAAGGUCUCUCAUCAUUAGGGCCAUUGCAUAUUCACAGCAUUGCAUAUUCACAGCUUAUGAUGUGUAAACUAAGCAGAAGGCAUUUCAAUAAAUUAGAAGCAAUGAAAGCUCGACACCAUAUGAAAGAUGCAACGAAUAUCACUCUACCAAGUUAAAAUUGUCUCGUCAUAAGUGCCAUUUAAAAAAAUUAGAAGUAGUACAAGCUAGAAAAGAAUGCGAGAUGUAAGGAAAACACAUGAUACCAGGAUGGAACAUGUACAAAACAGGACGACAUGGAAUAUUCGCAAAUGUUUGUGUAAACUAAGCAGAAGCCAUUUCAACAAAUAGGAAGCAAUGCAAGCUAGAAACCCUAUGCAACAUGCAAGACAAUAUCACACUGCCAAGCUAGAGAAAGCACCUGGAUGCCGGUUUCGCCGGAAGACCACCAUCAGUCCCUGCCUUAAUUUUUUCCUUCCUCUUUCUUAGUUGUAUUGCCUUGUCAAGUCAAACCCACAAGAAAAAUGAAUAAAAAUUUGCUUUUUAGAACUCAUUGAUGCAGGAUGCUGACAAGCACUACUUUAAUGUAAGGCGACCGCAUGAUAGGACAAUUGUAUGUGUAAGAAAAAAGGACAACAUUGCAUAUUGACAACUAUGAUGUGUAAACUAAGCAGAAGGCAUUUCAACAAAGUAGAAGCAAUGAAAGCUAGACACCAUAUGGAAGAUGCAACGAAUAUCACUCUACCAAGUUAAAGUUGUCUUGUCAUAAGUGCCAUUUCAACAAAUUAGAAGUAGCACAAGCUAGAAAAGAAUGCGAGAUGUAACCUAUAUCACACUCCCAAGUCAAACAUGUCUUAUGAUAAGUGAUUGUUGCAGGUUACACAACAGUAGUACUUUGAUGUAAGAACAUGGUGUGAUAGACAUAUAUUGUAUGUUCUAGAAACAGGAACACGCGUCUUAUUCACAAGUAUAAUGUGUAAAGUAAGCAGAUGGAAUUCAACAAAAUUAUAAGCAAUACAAUCUAGACAUCAUACAUAACAUGCAACCUCAUAUAACAAUGCCAAGUUAGAGGGAGCACAUGUGAUGAUGCACUAGGGAAGACGUGCUCAUCACCAACACAACUACGUUGAGUGUCUGUGCAUGUGUUGUCUUGCAAAUCAUCUUGGGGGUGGAGGAGUAGAAUCUGUAGAGGCCCUCCGUUUGGAAGGAGCGCCUUUAUCCGCUGCCUUGCUAAAUUCCUUCCGCUUUAUUGAUUUUGAAUUUUCAAAUAAAACCAACAAGAAAAAGCAAUAAAAUUCACUCUUCAGAACUCAUUCGUGCAUGAUACUGGCGAUCACUACUUUGAUGUAAGGCAAACACAUGAUAACAGGAUGGAAUAUGUACGAAAACAGGACGGCAUGGCAUAUUCAUAACUGUUUGUGUAAACUAAGCAGAAGCCAUUUCAACAAAUAAGAAGCAAUGCAAGCUAGACACCACAUGAAAGAUGCAACCAAUAUGACUCUGCCAAGUUAAAAGCGUCCCAUCGUAAAUGGCAUUUCAACAAAUUAGAAGCAGCGAAUGCUAUAAAUCAUAUGAAAGAUGCAACUAAUAUCACACUGCAUAUACUAAAGGUGUCUCAUCAUAUUGAUUGAUGCGGGAUACAAAAAAACAAUAGUUUUAUGUAACGACAUGCUUAAUAGACAUAUGUACUAUGUACUAAAAACAGGAAGACAUGUCACGUUAAUAGGUUUAAUGUAUAAACUAAGCAGAAUAGCAAAUGCAAUUUAACUAGAUUGGAUGAAUAACAAUCUAGACACCAUAUUCAACAUGCAACCACAUAUCAUGCUGCCAAGUUAGAGCAAGCACAUGUGAUGCUGGUAUAGGGGAAAUGCGAUAAUCAACUAUAGAGCUACAUUCACUAUCUUCAUCUAGCCUGACGAUGUGGGGAGGCUGACGAUGCAUUCUUUAAAUGAGGAUCUUUUCUCACAGUAGUCCACUGGCCUGACUGCCUCAUCAUAAGUGAUUGAUGAGGGAUACACAAGAACAUUAGUUUGAUGUAAGAACAUGGUAAGCAGAUAUAAUGUGUAAGCUAAGCAUGUCAUAUUCAAAGGUAUAAUGUGUAAGCUAAGCAGAUGCAAUUUAACCAAAUUAGAAGCAAUACAAGCUAAAAAUUCGGCUGGAGUGGUGAGCAUGAUCAUCGAGGACCUGAGAGCCUGAUGGGAGGCGGGCUGCUUCGCCACCAUCAUGGCUUUUUAGUUGGCUUCCAGGUGAUGCAUGUCUGUGUUGGGCUUGUCACUAGCUCGUCCAGUGCCCUGACUAGCUAUUUGUCUUCUGGUGCUCCCGGGAUGGUGGUUCAUGUAAAAAAUAUCUUUCCUUAUCUUAAUAAAGACCGACUUCGUCCUUUUCAAUAUAAGCUAGACACCAUAUGCAACAUGCAACCACGUAUGACACCGUGAAUUUAAAGCAAGCACCUGGGAUGGUGGUUCACGGCGAGCGAGAUCAUCAACUCCAGGGCUAUGUUUACCGUCUUCGUCUGUUGAACAUCCAACCUUUAAAGCAUGGAAACGUGUCUUGCCUGCCAGCGAAGCAAGAAGGAGCGACUUCUCUCUUCUCUUUUCUCCUUCUGUCAAGGCAGAGUCUGAAAUACCCUUGCAUAAAAACAUAAUAGUGAGAGUAUGAGUGAAGUGUGUGCAGAACUAGUGCACUGUAAAAGUAGCAGAUAGCAGGUGGCUGAAAAAUAAAUGACAGGAGACUUAUGAUAGCUCUACAACAUUGCAUGGAAACAAAAUUAGAUUCUACUCCGUAUGAUUUUGUAAUAUAUGAGCACCGGGAUGGCUGGGAAAUGCAGGUACUCCUCCAGCACACCACCACAUGUGGUCCUAUCAAAAUAACAGUCGACUAAAAAUAAAUAGGCCAGUCGAUUUUUUAUGAACCAUCCGAUCUAUAAGGAACGGGCAGAUGGCCUUCCUCUACCUCCCGCCAAUUAUUGUUGAUGAUCUUUCUCAAACCGCCAGCAACCACCGGCCUAGACCACUGCCUCCGCCGCCCCGCCCUCCCCUCAACCUGACACCGCCGCCGUGCUUGGCAGCGCCCCCGGCCAUCCAUUUAAUCCUGGCCGACCUCCAGAUCCGGCACUAGCAACUCCUAGGCCCCACACACCCCUAAGAUAAACACUGAGGCGCUGCUUCCCCGGCGUAAUAGGCGAACUAGCGCAUGUUACGCCAGGGAAUGCUUCCUUUAAUUGGGAAUCAACUGACCAGGAAUUGAAAUCCAGGGGGCCGAUGGACCUCUAGCUAAGGCGAAAUAGUAUAUGAGGAGAAACCUUGUGCAUCACGAGUUACUAGGAACAUCUAGUUGCUGGGGAACGUAGUAAUUUCAAAAAAAUUCCUACGCACACACAAGAUCUAUCUAGGUGAUGUAUAGCAACAAGAGGGGAGAGUGUUGUACAUGUACCAUCAUAGACCGAAAGUGGAAGCGUUAUGACAACACAGUUGAUGUAGUCGUACGUCUUAACGAUUCGACCGAUCUUAGCACCGAAGGUACGACACCUCCGCGAUCUGCACACGUUCAGCUCGGUGAUGUCCCAUGAUCUCUAGAUCUAGCUGAGGUCAAGGGAGAGUUUUGUCAGCACGACAGCGUGAUGACAGUGAUGAUGAAGUUACCGACGCAGGGCUUCGCCUAAGCACUACAACGAUAAGACCGAGGUGGAAAUCAGUGAAGGGGGGCACCGCACACGGCUAAACAAUCAACUUGUGUGUUCUAGGGUGCCCCUACCCCCGUAUAUAAAGGAGCAAGGGGGAGGCCGGCUGGCCCUAUAGGGGUGCGCCCCAAGUAGGAUUCCUACUAGGAAUAGGAAUCCUAUUCCUAGUAGGUUUCCAACAAGGAAGAGAGGGGGAAGGAAGGAGAGGGAGAGAGGGAGAAGGAUAGGUGGCGCCGCCCCCUUCCCUAGUACAAUUCGGACCCAAGGGGGAGGGGCACGCGGCCUGCCCUAGCCGCCCCUCUCUCUCUCCACUAAGGCCCAUGAGGCCCAUUAGUUCCCCCGCGGGGUUCCGAUAACCCUCCGGGCACUCCGGUUUUAUCCGAAACUUCUCUGGAACAUUUUCGGUGUCCGAAUAUAGUCGUCCAGUAUAUAAAUCUUUAUGUCUCUACCAUUUUGAGACUCCUCGUCAUGUCCAUGAUCACAUCCGAGACUCUGAACUACCUUCGGUACAUCAAAACACAUAAACUCAUAAUAUCGAUCGUCAUCGAACGUUAAGCGUGCGGACCCUACGGGCUCGAGAACUAUGUAGACAUGACUGGGACUCACUUAUGGUGAAUAACCAAUAGAGGAACCUGGAUGCUCAUAUUGGUUCCUACAUAUUCUACGAAGAUCUUUAUCGGUCAAACCGCAUAACAACAUACGUUGUUCCCUUUGUCAUCGGUAUGUUACUUGCCCGAGAUUCGAUCAUCGGUAUCUCAAUACCUAGUUCAAUCUCGUUACCGACAAGUCUCUUUACUUGUUCCAUAAUGCAACAUCGCGUGACUAACUCAUUAGUCACAUUGCUUGCAAGGCUUAUAGUGAUGUGCAUUACCGAGAGGGCCCAGAGAUACCUCUCCGAUACACGGAGUGACAAAUCCUAAUCUCGAUCUAUGCCAACUCAAAAAACACCAUCGGAGGCACCUAUAGAGCAUCUUUAUAGUCACCCAGUUACGUUUUGACAUUUGAUAGCACAUAAAGUGUUCCUCCGGUAUUCGGGAGUUGCAUAAUCUCAUCAUGAUAGGAACAUUUUAUAAGUCAUGAAGAAAACAAUAGCAAUAAACUAAACGAUCAUAGUGCUAAGCUAAUGGAUGGGUCUAGUCCAUCACAUCAUUCUCUAAUGAUAUGAUCCCAUUCAUCAAAUGACAACACAUGUCCAUGGCUAGGAAACUUAACCAUCUUUGAUUAACGAGCUAGUCAAGUAGAGGCAUACUAGGGACACUCUGUUUGUCUAUGUAUUCACACGUGUACUAAAUUUUCGGUUAAUACAAUUAUAGCAUGAAUAAUAAACAUUUAUCAUGGUAUAAGGAAAUAAAUAAUAACUUUAUUAUUGCCUCUAGGGCAUAUUUACUUCACUAGUAUCAGGAAGAAGUGGUCAACUAGUGUCUUCUGUGGGAUGAAUACCGUGCAAGCAGACACGUAAGAUUUGCAUGAAUAAGGAAAGAGGAUUACCAUUUCCGGUUGCCAGUGCUGGGUCCUCCGGAUGUCGCGACAAUUUUAUUGUUUUUACCUAGGGAACCGAUGUUUUGGAGGAGGGUCGAGCGUUGGAUGAACCCAUGGCCAAAUUGUUGACUAUAUUGCGGUGGUCGUCUGUCGGUGGAGGGGAAGCAGAUCCGAGGCGGCGAAGGACGGUGUAGCAGGAACAACUCCGAUGCGGUGGACGGUGGCGAAGUUGGAGCGGCGGCGGUGAGGCGCAGGACGGCGUGGUUGAACUGGCUCGGGUAUGGACAUCUCGGCCUCAGCUUCAACUACUAGCCAUGGAGGGCACUGCGGUUACGGUUGCGGUGGACAACGACGUCGGGGAAUCGGCUCCGGCGUGAUGGAGGAGGGCGGCGGUUGAUGGGUGGGAUGGGGUGGCAGAUGGAGGACGCCAGAGUAUGAAUGGGGAAUCAUAUGGGGGGUGGGGUGCGGGGGGAGCUAUUUCAUCCACGGGCUCCUGUUCAUCCAGCCUCCACCGCUCCUCCACCGGCUACUGUUCAACUAGCCCUCUCCAUGGGGUCCUGUUAAACCACCCCUCCAUGGCCUACUAUUCAUCCAGGCCUCCACGGCCACUGUUCAACCAACCCUCCACGGGGUCGUCCUGUUCAUCCAGCACUCCACGGGGUCAUGUUCAUCCACCCCAACCGGCUCGAUCGAUCGGGGUCAUGUUCAUCCAGCGGCAACGGCCUCUACUACCAUAGGGUCAUGUUCAUCCACCCCCCGUAAGAACGCUCAUUGUUCUUCAAGAGGCAGCAUGUUUGAUUGGCUUCAGUUAGCAGCAGUAGUGAAGGAAUCACUCGAUCGGGUUUAGUUAACAGUCAUAUCGAUCGAUCGCUCGGGUUCCGUAACGCGUAGCCUGCAGUGCAAUCGCUCGGGUUCAGUAGGCGAACGCCUCGCUCGGAUUCAGUUAGAUCCCAAUGCCUCGCACCCACGCGCAUCGCUCGGCCCCGACCACCCACCGUAACCGGGAACUCCCCGAUAUUUUCCUCGCCCUCGCUUCUACCAUGGUUUUUUCCAUCAUGGACGGUGCAAAGAAUGUCAUGCAACUGUGUCUCCGGCCAGCCUAGGAUGAAAAUCCCAUUUUCUGUCAUGAUUUUUUGUCAUAGAAGUAGGAUCCCACCACAUCUAUGAUGAUACCGGAUUUUGUCACAAUUAUCAUCAUAGAAGUGUCAUAAGCAUGACAGAAAAAAAUUCGUUCGGCCCAAAAUGUCACGGAUGUGUCUUUUUUUUGUAGUGAUCACCUCAACUUUUUGCCUCCCAUUGAAGUCCUCAAAAGGACUAUUUCCUCAGUUGACGAAAAAGGCAAAGCUGUUGUUAUUGAUGAAGGCACCCGUCCAUUGGAUGGUCAGUUUCGCAAAGCUGCAUCUUACUCCAACAAUGAUGACUCUACAACAUAGGACUCUGUCACAAAAGCCUCAAAGCCAACUCCUCAAGCCACUGCCCCACGCGUGAUGACUGAUCGUGAGAUUCUUCUAAGUUUUCAUCAGAAGGUCGAUCGGAAUCACAAAUGCGUCAAGCGUCAAUUUGGCUCAAUUCUUCAGAACAUGACUAUCACGCAAAACAUUGUAAAGAAGAAUCAUUACUAUGCACAUGAAAUCUUCGACCGCACUUGGGCUAUUAUAUCUCAUCUUUACAGUGAUAAAGAUCUCAAGCAGAUGGGGUUUCAACAGGACUUUGACUGGUCUCAUCCUCCUUUGAAGAAAUUCAAGAAGGUCAAAGUUCCUCAGUCGGUCACAAGUUUAUAUUCUUCAUCACGUGACACGGAUGAAGCUGAAGAUCUCAACGACACUGCGGCAGGCCCUACUUCAACGGACGACCCUAACAACGCUGGCACUCCUCCAUCAACAUCAUGAUGAUAUUCUUCAGGGGCGUUAGUCCUCAUUUUUCGUCCCUUUUGGUCAUUCGAUGACAAAGGGGGAGAAAUUUGAGUUAGUCUUCAAGCGGGUCUUAUAUAUGGGAUGUUUUUUUAAAGUUACAACUCUUGCUCUUGUGAGGUGUUUGCUCUGAUGAGUUGUAAACUUAAGUCUGAUGGUGGUCUGAUACUUUUAAACUGCUUUCUGCAUGCUUAUUUCCUCAAGUACCUUAAUGCAUGCAUGCUGAAUUUCGUCAGACAUCAUAUUCCAUCAUGCAUUUAAACUUCGUCAUGUUAUAUGUUAAAUGUGUGUAUGAAUUACAAGAUAUAUGGGGAGAUAUCCAUAAUUUUACUCUACAAUGUGCAUUUGCAAUCGAAAGGAAAUUCCUCAAAUAUGCACAUCUUUAGGGGGGAGUUCUUCUAUAUCUUGCAAUCAAAUUCCUCAAUAUCAGUAUUUACACUUCAUAUGUUUAUCCCCGUUGAAAACUUAACCUAUUUGUCAUCAAUCACCAAAAAGGGGAGAUUGUAAGUGCAUCUAGUGCCCCUUAGUGAUUUUGGUGUAUUGAAGACUUAUAGAUUAAGGGCUAAUGUGUUUAUGAGAGUACACAGGUUCUAUAAGUCUAUGAGGAGUUUGAUAUUUACGAAGAAAGUCGACCUCUAAAAAUGAAUGUCUUCAUUUGAAGACUUUGGUUUUCUUGAAGACUUUGAAAAUGAGGAAAUUGGUGUGACCUUGAAGACUUUGAUAUUGAUGUGAUGAUUAUGAAGCAUGAAUACUUUUGUUUUUGUAGUUUCAUUUUGUCUUUCUUGAGUCAUAGGAAACACCGUAAUGUUAAAGGGGAUCGGGGUAAAACUAAGGAAAAGUUUCCAAGUGAUGCUCAUCUCAGAGCCUACACAUACCCAAUCGUUUCAAGUGAAGCCAUUGGAAAUCUCAUACUGUUCAGUCAAUUUCUUCAGUGACAGAGACGAAGAUCUUCUGUUCUUUGGGGAAUUUGUUCUGACCGAGGAGUUAGGAUUUUGCCAGUGCGGAUUGCCUACAAGUGAGGAACAUGACAGCCCUGAGAAAUUUGAGAGCUCAAAUUUCCAACCGUUGAUGUGCUAAGCGCCAGCUGUCCCAAAUAUCUUAUCCACCUAACGAUCAUAUCAUUGAAAGGAAUUUAUAUCUUAUCAUGUCGGGCUGCUCCCCGGCUAUAAAUAGGCGCCCCCUACUGAAGGAAAUAUGCCCUAGAGGCAAUAAUAAAGUUGUUAUUUAUAUUUCCUUAUAGCAUGAUAAAUGUUUAUUAUUCAUGCUAGAAUUGUAUUAACCGGAAACUUAGUACAUGUGUGAAUUCAUAGACAAGCAGAGUGUCCCUAGUAUGCCUCUACUUGACUAACUCGUUAAUCAAAGAUGGUUAAGUUUCCUAACCAUAGACAUGUGUUGUCAUUUGAUGAACAGGAUCACAUCAUUAGAGAAUGAUGUGAUGGACAAGACCCAUCCAUUAGCUUAGCAUUAUGAUCAUUUAGUUUUAUUGCUAUUGCUUUCUUCAUGACUUAUACAUAUUCCUCUGACUAUGAGAUUAUGCAACUCCCGAAUACCGGAGGAACACCUUGUGUGCUAUCAAACGUCACAACAUAACUGGGUGACUAUAAAUAUGCUCUACAGGUGUCUCCAAAGGUGUUUGUUGAGUUGGCAUAGAUCGAGAUUAGGAUUUGUCACUCCGUGUAUCAGAGAGGUAUCUCUGGGCCCUCUCGGUAAUGCACAUCACUAUAAGCCUUGCAAGCAAUGUGACUAAUGAGUUAGUUGCGGGAUGAUGCAUUACGGAAUGAGUAAAGAGACUUGCCGGUAACGAGAUUGAACUAGGUAUGAUGAUACCGACGAUCGAAUCUCGGACAAGUAACAUACUUAUGUGAAAGGGAAUAACGUAUGUUGUUAUGCGGUUUGACCGAUAAAGAUCUUUGUAGAAUAUGUAGGAGCCAAUAUGAGCAUCCAGGUUCCGCUAUUGGUUAUUGACCGAAGAUGUGUCUUGGUCAUGUCAACAUAGUUCUCGAACCCGUAGGGUCCGCAUGCUUAACGUUCAAUGACGAUUUGUAUUAUGAGUUAUGUGAUUUGAUGACUGAAGUUUGUUCGGAGUCCCAGAUGAGAUCACAGACAUGAUGACGAGUCUUGAAAUGGUCAAGAGGUAAAGAUUCAUAUAUUGGAAGGUUAUAUUCGGACAUCGGAAUGGUUCCGAGUGAUUCGGGUAUUUUUCUGGAGUACCGAGGGGUUACCGGAAGCCCCCGGGGAAGUAUUGGGCCAGCAUGGGCCUAAGGGAGAGAGAGGGAAGCCCGCGGGGGUGGCCAUGCCCCCUCCUUGGGAGUCCGAAUAGGACAAGGAGGAGGGGGCGGCGCCCCCUUCCCUUUCUCUCUCCCUCUCCUUCCUAUUCCCUCCGGUGGAAGAAAGGAAAAGGGGGGCCGAAUCCUACUUGGACUAGGAGUCCAAGUAGGACUCCUCCCAUGGCACGCCCCUCCUAGCCGCCGGCCUGUCUCCCCCUCCUUUAUAUACAUGGGCAGGGGCACCCCAAAGGCACAAAAGACAAUCUCUUAGCCGUGUGCGGUGUCCCCUUCCAUAGUUUAACACCUCGGUCAUAUCGUCGUAGUGCUUAGGCGAAGCCCUGCACCGGUAACUUCAUCAUCACCGUCACCAUGCCAUCAUGCUGAUGGAACUCUCCCUCGACCCUCUACUGCAUCAAGAGCUCGAGGGACGUCAUCGUGCUGAAUGUGUGCUGAACACGGAGGUGUCGUACGUUCGGUACUUGGAUUGGUUGGGUCAUGAAGACGUUCAACUACAUCAACUGCGUUACUAAAUGCUUCCGCUUUCGGUCUACGAGGGUACGUGGACACACUCUCCCCUUGUUGCUAUGCAUCUCCUAGUUAGAUCUUGCGUGAUCGUAGGAAAUUUUUGAAUUACCACGAUCCCCAGUAGUGGCAUCCGAGCCAGGCCUAUGCGUAGAUGAUAUAUGCACGAGUAGAACACAAUGAGUUGUGGGCGAUAAUAGUCAUACUGCUUACCACCAACUUCUUACUUUGAUUCGGCGGUAUUGUUGGAUGAAGCGGCCCGGAUAGACAUUACAUGACCACGUUCAUGAGACUAGUUCUACCAACGUGCUUCGCACACAGGUGGCUAGCGGGUGUCUGUUUCUCCAACUUUAGUUGAAUCGAGUUUGACUAUGGUCGAUCCUUAUUGAAGGUUUAAACAUCACACUUGACAAAAAAAUCGUUGUGGUUUUGAUGCGUAGGUAAGAACAGUUCUUGCUAGAAGCCUGUAGCAUCCAUGUAAAACUUGCAACAACAAAGUAGAGGACAUCUAACUUGUUUUUGCAGGGCAUGUUGUGAUGUGAUAUAAAUUGUUGUAUUAGAUGACGAAGUUUUGUAAAAGUUAUCGACAACUGGCAGGAGCCUUAUGGUUGUCGCUUUAUUUUAUGAAAUGCAAUCACCAUGUAAUUGCUUUACUUUAUCACUAAGCGGUAUCGAUAUUUGUAGAUGCAAUAGUUGGUGAGACAACGACGAUGCUACGAUGGAGAUCAAGGUGUCAAGCCGGUGACGAUGGAGAUCAUGACGGUGCUUUGUAGAUGGAGAUCAAAGGCACAAGAUGAUGAUGGCCAUAUCAUGUCACAUAUUUUGAUUGCAUGUGAUGUUUAUCCUUUAUGCAUCUUAUUUUGCUUAGUACGGCGGUAGCAUUAUAAGAUGAUCUCUCACUAAAUUUCAAGGUAAAGUGUUCUUCCUGAGUAUGCACCGUUGCUACAGUUCUCGUGCCAAGACACCACGUGAUGAUCGGGUGUGAUAAGCUCUACGUUCACAUACAAUGGGUGCACGCCAGUUUUGCACAUGCAGAAUACUCGGGUUAAACUUGACGAGCCUAGCAUAUGCAGAUAUGGCCUCGGAACACUAAGACCGAAAGGUCGAACGUGAAUCAUAUAUUAGAUAUGAUCAACAUAGUGAUGUUUACCAUUGAAAACUACACCAUCUCACAUGAUGAUCGAACAUGGUUUAGUUGAUAUGGAUCACGUGAUCAUUUAGAUGACUAGAGAGAUGUCUAUCUAAGUGGGAGUUCUUUAGUAAUAUGAUAAAUUGAACUUUAAUUUAUCAUGAACUUAGUACAUGAUAGUUUUUGCAUAUCUAUGUUAUUGUAGAUCAAUGGCUCGUGCUACUGUUCCCUUGAAUUUUAAAUGUGUUCCUAGAGAAAGCUAAGUUGAAAGAUGAUGGUAGCAACUACACAGACUGGGUCCGUAACUUGAGGAUUAUCCUCAUUGCUGCAUAGAAAAAUUACAUCCUGGAAGCACCGCUAGGUGCAAGACCCGCUGCAGGAGCAAUUCCAGACGUUAUGAACGUCUGGCAGAGCAAAGCUGAUGACUACUCGAUAGUUCGGUAUGCCAUGCUUUACGGCUUAGAAUCGGAACUUCAAAGACGUUUUGAACGUCAUGGAGCAUAUGAGAUGUUCCAGGAGUUGAAGUUAAUAUUUCAAGCAAAUGCUCGAGUUGAGAGAUAUGAAGUCUCCAACAAGUUCUACAACUGCAAAAUGGAGGAGAAUAGUUCUAUCAGUGAACACAUACUCAAAAUGUCUGGGUACCAUAACCACUUGACUCAGCUGGGAGUUAAUCUUCCUGUUGAUAGUGUCAUUGACAAAGUUCUUCAAUCACUGCCACCAAGCUAUAAAGUCUUCGUGAUGAACUAUAGUAUGCAAGGGAUGGAAAAGACAAUCCCCGAGCUCUUCGCGAUGCUAAAGGCCGCAGAGGUAGAAAUCAAGAAGGAGCAUCAAGUGUUCAUGGUGAACAAGACCACUAGUUUCAAGAAAAAGGGCAAAGGAAAGAAGGGGAACUUCAAGAAGAAUAGCAAGCCAGUUGCUGCUCAAGGGAGGAAGCCCAAGUGUGGACCUAAGCCUGAAACUGAGUGCUUCUACUACAAAGGGACUGGUGACUGGAAGUGGAACUACCCCAAGUAUUUGGUCGAUAAGAAGGAUGGCAAAGUGAAAGGUAUAUUUGAUAUACAUGUUAUUUAUGUGUACCUUACUAAUGCUCGUAGUAGCGCCUGGGUAUUUGAUACUGGUUAUGUUGCUCAUAUUUGCAACUCGAAACAGGGGCUACGGAUUAAAUGAAGAUUGGCUAUGAUCGCCUUCGGCACGCUACCUCUACAUCUACCAUCGGGAUUAGUUUUAGACCUAAAUAAUUGUUAUUUGGUGCCAGCGUUGAGCAUGAACAUUAUAUCUGGAUCUUGUUUAAUGUGAGAUGGUUAGUCAUUUAAAUUAAAGAAUAAUGGUUGUUCUAUUUAUAUGAGUAAUAUCUUUUAUGGUCAUGCACCCUUGAUGAGUGGUCUAUUUUUGUUAAAUCUCAAUUUUAGUGAUACACAUAUUCAUAAUAUUGAAGCCAAAAGAUGCAAAGUUAAUAAUGAUAGUGCAACUUAUUUGUGGCACUGCUGUUUAGGUCAUAUUGGUGUAAAGCGCAUGAAGAAACUCCACGCUGAUGGGCUUUUGGAAUCACCUGAUUAUGAAUCACUUGAUGCUUGCGAACCAAUCCUCAUGGUUAAGAUGACUAAGACUCCGUUCUCCAGAAGAAUGGAGCAAGCAACUGACUUAUUGGAAAUAAUACAUACUGAUGUAUGCGGUCGGAUGAGUGUUGAGGCUCGCGGCGGGUAUCAUUAUUUUCUGACCUUCACACAUGAUUUAAGCAGAUAUGGGUACAUCUACUUGAUGAAACAUAAGUGUGAAACUUUUGAAAAGUUCAAAGAAUUUCAGAGUGAAGUGGAAAAUCAUCGUAACAAGAAAAUAAAAUUUCUACAAUCUGAUCGUGGAGGUGAAUAUUUGAGUUAUGAGUUUGGUCUUCAUUUGAAACAAUGUGGAAUAGUUUCGCAACUCACACCACCUGGAACACCACAGUGUAAUGGUGUGUUCGAACAUUGUAACUAUACUUCAUUAGAUAUGGUGCGAUCUAUGAUGUUUAUUACUGAUUUACCACCAUCGUUUUGGGGUUAUGCUUUAGAGACGGCCGCAUUCACGUUAAAUAGGGCACCAUCUAAAUCAGUUGAGACGACGCUAUAUGAACUAUGGUUUGGCAAGAAAACUAAGCUGUCGUUUCUUGAAGUUUGGGGCGCGAUGCUUAUGUGAAAAAGCUUCAACCUGAUAAGCUCGAACCCAAAUCAGAGAAAUGUGUCUUCAUAGGAUACCCAAAGGAGACUAUUGGGUACACCUUCCAUCACAGAUCCGAAGGCAAGAUAUUCGUUGCUAAGAAUGGAUCCUUUCUAGAGAAGGAGUUUCUCUCGAAAGAAGUGAGUGGGAGGAAAGUAGAACUUGAUGAGGUAAUUGUACCUUCUCCCGAAUUGGAAAGUAGUUCAUCACAGAAAUUAGUUCCCGUGAUUCCUACACCAAUUAGUGAGGAAGCUAAUGGUAAUGACCAUGAAACUUUAGAUCAAGUUACUACCGAACCUCGUAGGUCAACUAGAGUACGAUCUGCACUAGAGUGGUACGGUAAUCCUGUUCUGGAGGUCAUGUUACUUGACCAUGACGAACCUAUGAACUAUGAGGAAGCGAUGAUGAGCCCAGAUUCCGCGAAAUGGCUUAAGGCCAUGAAAUCUGAGAUGGGAUCCAUGUAUGAGAACAAAGUGUGGACUUUCGUUGACUUGCCCAAUGAUCGGCAAGCCAUAGAAAAUCAAUGGAUCUUCAAGAAGAAGACUGACGCUGACGGUAAUGUUACUGUCUACAAUGCUCGACUUGUUGCGAAAGGUUUUUGACAAGUUCAAGGAGUUGACUACGAUGAGACCUUCUCACCCGUAGCGAUGCUAAAGUCUGUCCGAAUCAUGUUAACAAUUGCCGCAUUUUAUGAUUAUGAAAUUUGGCAAAUGGGUAUCAAAAUUGCAUUCCUUAAUAGAUAUCUUAAAGAAGAGUUGUAUAUGAUGCAACCAGAAGGUUUUGUCGAUCCUAAAGGUGCUAACAAAGUGUGCAAGCUCCAGCGAUCCAUUUAUGGAUUGGUGCAAGCCUCUCAGAGUUGGAAUAUACGCUUUGAUGAAGUGAUCAAAGCAUAUGGUUUUAUGCAGGCUUUUCGAGAAGCAUGUAUUUACAAGAAAGUGAGUGGGAGCUCUGUAGCAUUUCUAAUAUUAUAUGUGGAUGACAUAUUGUUGAUUGCAAAUGAUAUAGAAUUUCUGGAUAGCAUAAAAGGAUACUUGAAUAAGAGUUUUUCAAUGAAAGACCUCGGUGAAGCUGCUUAUAGAUUGGGCAUCAAGAUCUAUAGACAUAGAUCAAGACGCUUAAUUGGACUUUCACAAAGCACAUACCUUGAUAAAGUUUUGAAGAAGUUCAAAAUGGAUAAGUUAAAGAAAGGGUUCUUGCCUGUGUUACAAGGUGUGAAGUUGAGUCAAAUUCAAUGCCCUACAACUGCAGAAGAUAGAGAGAAAAUGAAGGUCAUUCCCUAUGCAUCAGCCAUAGGUUCUAUCAUGUAUGCAAUUUGUGUACCAGACCUGAUGUGUGCCUUGCUAUAAGUUUAGCAGGGAGGUACCAAAGUAAUCAGGAGUGGAUCACUGGACAGUGGUCAAGAACAUCCUGAGAUACCUGAAAAGGACUAAGGAUAUGUUUCUCGUUUAUGGAGGUGACAAAGAGCUCAUCGUAAAUGGUUACAUCGAUGCAAACUUUGACACUGAUCCGGAUGACUCUAAGUCACAAACUGGAUACGCAUUUAUAUUAAAUGGUGGAGCUGUCAGUUGGUGCAGUUCCAAGUAGAGCGUCAUGGCGGGAUCUACGUGUGAAGCAGAGUAGAUAGCUGAUUCGGAAGCAGCAAAUGAAGGAGUCUGGAUGAAGGAGUUCAUAUCUGAUCUAGGUGUAAUACCUAGUGCAUCGGGUCCAAUGAAAAUCUUUUGUGACAAUACUGGAGCAAUUGCCUUGGUGAAGGAAUCCAGAUUUCACAAGAGAACCAAACACAUCAAGAGACGCUUCAAUUCCAUCUGUGAUCAAAUCAAGGAGGGAGAGAGAUUUGCAAAAUACAAACAGAUCUAAAUGUUGCAGACCCAUUGACUAAGCCUCUCUCACGAGCAAAACAUGAUCAGCACUAAGACUCCAUGGGUGUUAGAGUCAUUACUAUGUAAUCUAGAUUAUUGACUCUAGUGCAAGUGGGAGAUUGAAGGCCCCAGAGGCAAUAAUAAAGUUGUUAUUUAUAUUUCCUUAUAUCAUGAUAAAUGUUUAUUAUUCAUGCUAGAAUUGUAUGAACCAAAUACUUAGUACAUGUGUGAAUACAUGGACAAACAGAGUGUCCCUAGUAUGCCUCUACUUGACUAGCUCGUUAAUCAAAGAUGGUUAAGUUUCCUGACCAUAGACAUGUGUUGUCAUUUGAUGAACAGGAUCAGAUCAUUAGAGAAUGAUGUGAUGGACAAGCCCCAUCCGUUAGCUUAGCAUUAUGAUUGUUUAGUUUUAUUGCUAUUGCUUUCUUCAUGACUUAUAUAUAUUCCUCUGACUAUGAGAUUAUGCAACUCCCGAAUACCAGAGGAACACCUUGUGUGCUAUCAGACGUCACAACAUAACUAGGUGAUUAUAAAGACUAGACGUCAACCCAUGCGAGCCGCACGGGCUAGCUAAUGAGACAAUAACAUAGUAGAAAAUUUCCUAAAUAUUGGUCAUAUAUACGUAAAAAAGGAAAUAACUAUGAAUUCAUAGACUUUGUAUUAAGCCAUUGAAAUGCUUUUCAACGUGAAAGUAUGUUCUUUAAUCAUACAUUUAAAAUUGAAUUGAAGUAACAUACACAUAUAAGAACAUGAUAGUUAUUUCCCUUCCCACAGAAAAUUUAACUAUUUCUUUAAUAUUUGCAAAGAGCUCCCAAAUGUAAAAAAUGUUGAAAUGCUUAGGUUUCAAAAGUAUUCAUCCAUUUGUUAACUACCGCAAGUGUAUUAAAUAUAUAAAUAUGUUCUGCAGAAAUAAAAGCUAAAGCAUACAUUCAAAUAUGUUUGUCAAAGAAAAUACAGUUGUAGGAACAAACAACAUUCUGAUAUUGAAUACAAAAACCAACAAAUAAAACUGCUCAAACUUUCGUACAUAUAGUGCAUAAUUAUUGAACCAUAGAAAUAAGCAUGAUCUCUAUAAUCAUGAGAUUCUACCAAACAAUUAAAUAACUAUGAGCCCAUGAGUUUCUGCCAUGUUGUUACGAUGAGAAACAUAUGGUUUCUUCAUGUGUAAUCAUUCUAAUUAUUUGAGUGGGAUUGUUCGAUGAUUGUAGAAUGUAAACAUCACUAAUCAAUGAAUUAGUUUUUCCAAAUAAAUUAUCAAAAAAUCUGUAAAAAAAUCUAAACUCAGAGGAAUUUUGCAACAACAGUACACCUCCGAUAUCAUCUCUUGAUUAUACAUCAUUAAAUGAAUGUCUCUUCCCUGAGUGAGUUUAUAGCAGCCACUUACUUAUUUCUCUAAUCUCGCAAAUCAAGUGCUAGUGAUCUUAAAUAAUCAAAUGGUUAUACAAAUCGGACGCAUACCUGUAGAUCACUAGUGCCUUGUGAUGCACACUAGUUUACAUGAAAAAUUUGGACUAUAUAUACCUUUACAAAGCAUUAAACAAAACUGAAGUGUGUGUGUGUGUGUGUGUGUGUAUCAAAAGGAAGAUGAAUAGAGUGGGCGAAGAUUAUUAUAAUUCUUUUUGUAAGACAUAUAUAGUUUAAUUGAAAACCUAAUAGUAAUUUCAGAAACAAUUUUAGUUGUUUUCAACAUGCAAAAAAAUUGUGUGUUGUUUAUAAUCAGAAGAAAGAAAGAAAAAUCUUGGAAGUAUGAAUGUCACCUUGCUUUGUAACUUCACGGCAUAAGAACUUAUAACAAAUUAAAAUCUUAACCAUGCAAUCAUGCUUGACAAAAUGAUACAUUAGGCACCUACGAAAUGAGUCCAUGAUUUUUGGCAUGUGCCUUGCAUGAAAUAGAGAUGAAAAACGGAUUUUUAUUGGACAUCGGAAGACAAUAUCUUUGAAAAUAUGACUAUGUAUCGAAGCUGGAAUUAAUAUCAUCCAAGUAAAAAACUUUUGCUAGUCAAAAUGAUAAUUCCAAUUUCAUAAGACAGUUAACAUAUUUUUCAAUGACUAAUUUUCUUUGUUCUAAGCUACAAAACCACUUAUGUCUACUUUGCAGUAGUAUUUGGGUCAGAAACAGCCAUAUUACAAUGUGGAGAUUUUAAGAUUAGUACACGUUUAGUCCAUGAAAAAUGAAAGACUCUAAUUGAAAAGAAAGAUUAACUCUUAGUUGUCAUUUAGUUUGUAUUUAGUUAGGAACUGCAUAGCCUAACAGUGUGAUUCAACCAACGGAAUAAAAAGUUUCUAUAAGAACUGGGUGAGAAACUGAGUAUAGACAACCUUCACACCUAGAGAAGCUUGACCAAUGAUGAUAUUGACAACCGACAAAGGCUACUGAACUAUCAGUUUGCCCAUAUAUUGGAUCAAGUAAAAAAGUAGAAAUUUCUCCAGAACUAGCACUUUUGGCAACAUGGGCAAACACAAAGACAACCCCUCGUAGUUUGUCCCAUGGAAGAUCUAAUUAAUGUUAACAUGUAUGAAGUCCGCUGAUGAUGUUGCACACCUAUCGUGACCUUCACAGACGCCCCAUUACCCCGACUGUCUGAGACCUUUUCCUGCAAGUAUCGACCUGUUCACUGAUAUUGAGGAUCAAGGAAAAAAUAUCAUGUUGCAUAUAUUCUAAAAUAAAAUUUUCAUAAUAUUUCACAUCACUUUAGUGUUAUAGUCAUCUUGAAGACUUGAGCAGUUGCCUAAAUCAAAUCAUGAAACUAUAUCAUUGUUCUAUUUACUAAUAUAUGUUAUUUACUACACGAAAAAUACUAUCUUUCAUAUAAUAUUUAUAAAAUUGUGAUUCUUUGGUUCCGUCACACUAUCUAUAGAUGAAAUCCAAAUGUUGUUUUCUGAUGAUUUUAACAUCUAAGUGCGAUUUUAUAGGCUCAAAGUGCUCUCCAACGUAAACACGAUGUAACAUCCCAAAUUUGCAAUUUGGAAUGUUAUACACUAGAUCAUCAUGCAUAUCAUAUUUUCAUGCAUUUUAGUUGAUCCUAGAAAUUUCACGCAACUCAAGGACCCACGAAGAGAGUUGGAGAUUUCGUUAUUUUCAUAUUUGAGUUCUCUCAAAUUUUGGAAAAGAGGAUCAUUUGAUUUAUUUAUUUCAUCUUCAAUUAUUUUUCCAAUAUAAAAAAAUGAGAGAGGGAAUAAUACGACUUUCCCAAAGUUAGGAAAAAUGAAGAUUUAAUGAAUAAGUCAAGUUUUGGUUUUGCCGGAGUUUUGUUUGCUUUUAUUUGGAUAGGGAAAAAUGCGCGUUUUCAAAAAUUGCAUUUUAGGCCCGGAGAAAAGUUCAUUUUGUUUGACUCCUUUUUAGGAGUCGGGGAAAAUUUACUUUAGAUUUUUCGGAGUUCGUUUAGAUAGUUUUUCUUUUGUUUUUCUGCGCGCGAAACCGAUUUUUUUUUAAAAAGGAGUAGCUCCCGCGCGCCAGGCCAGCCGCCACCGCCCCCAGCCCCUCGCGNNNNNNNNNNNNNNNNNNNNNNNNNNNNNNNNNNNNNNNNNNNNNNNNNNNNNNNNNNNNNNNNNNNNNNNNNNNNNNNNNNNNNNNNNNNNNNNNNNNNNNNNNNNNNNNNNNNNNNNNNNNNNNNNNNNNNNNNNNNNNNNNNNNNNNNNNNNNNNNNNNNNNNNNNNNNNNNNNNNNNNNNNNNNNNNNNNNNNNNNNNNNNNNNNNNNNNNNNNNNNNNNNNNNNNNNNNNNNNNNNNNNNNNNNNNNNNNNNNNNNNNNNNNNNNNNNNNNNNNNNNNNNNNNNNNNNNNNNNNNNNNNNNNNNNNNNNNNNNNNNNNNNNNNNNNNNNNNNNNNNNNNNNNNNNNNNNNNNNNNNNNNNNNNAAACCGUUCCGGUUCUUCUCUUUUUUCUUCCGGUUUUUCUUCCGGCUUUGUUUCGAUUUUCUUCCGAAACCCUAGAUCGGUUUUCAUUCUUCUUUCGGACCGUUCGUCUCAACGAACGUGAUCACCGAAUUUUCCCGGUUAACGACGCCCGUUCGUUUAACCGUUCAUCUCUUUCUUUUCGUCGGAUUUAUUCCGCGAUCGCGAUCUCAGAUCCGAUCUUCGUUCUAGUCUUUCUUCCCGCUCAUUUAUCGGAAUCAGGUGAUUCAAGCGCCUGGAGUUUCGUCUCGAAACCGCCGUUCCGUCUAAUCAACUUGAACAAGCCUUUGCUACAGUAAAAUUUGACCUAGUUUCAACUUGCUAGAACCGAGUUGCUUUCUUCCGCCAUUUGUUUUUCCGUCGUCUGUUCGGUUCUUUCUUUCUUUGCAACCGGAGUUCUUAAGUUGAACUUUCUAGUUCGUUCUCUUGUUCGAGUUUUACCUGUGCAUUAGAUGAGUACUUAUUGUGUGCUUGUUGUUUGUCUGCGAUAGAUCACCCGGAUUGCGCCGCUUGUUACUUCGAAACCCUAGGUCUCGCGGAUCAUCAGCAAGGCAAGUAACACUUUGAUCAUACCUUUUCUACAACCCAUGUUUUAUUGCAUUAGAUCAAUCCUCUCACAUUGCAUGAUUAGGAUCUAAUUAAAUUAUGGGAUGGGAAGUAGAUGAGGUAGUACCUAUUACCUGUAUUAUUAUCAAACCUUUGGGAGUUACUUCUACGUUUGCUUAUUAUGCCAUGCUAUGCUAGUAGACGUGGAUUGGGUGAGUGAUAUCCAUGACAGAUGUGAGAUUGAUAAUUAAGGGUUUAUCUAAGGUGGCAACUUGAACACACAUCUGGGUGGAUUGAGGCACCUGAUGUCUACCAGGACAUGCCUGUUUUUAUUUCGGACCGCCACCCAGGCUCAAAGGGAUCAUAAGAUCAUUCAUGCUAGUAACUUCCGUGUGCAGCCACAAGCCAUUAUGGGCUCUGGCAUAGUUGAUUAAGUCGUGCGAACUCUUAUAGGGUAGACUAGCAGAUGUAGGGGAAAGUAGGUGUACCGGUCUAUCCAUCGUAAGGUGCUAGCGCUUCUGAAAGACUGUGUCUCGGUCAUCCGUCUUCUCAAACACCAUGUAGUGCGAGAAACCAAACGGAUGCGAUCGAGUCUUGUGGGGAAAAGUGCGCAAACCUCUGCAGAGUGUAACAAACUAAUCAUGAUUAGCCGUGUCCCCGGUUAUGGACAACUUGAGUAUCUAGUACUUGAAUAUCAUGUGAAUCUCAUCACGUUACUUCUAAUUAAUGUUGUUGGGUUUUAAUUACUUAAUUGGGAUCGGAAUGCUGUCAACCAUUCUCGAUGUUUAACAACUACCAUGAUAGUUAAAUAAAUUUAUUCCUUUGCAGUAGGGAAAAACUGGCUUUACGCAAAACUGUAACCAUAGAGCUUUCCACCAGCCAUAUAUGCAUGUAGUAUAGCUGUUUCAUUCCAUUACUCUCUAUGUGUUACAUUGCCAGCAUAUUCCAUGUGCUGACCCGUUUUCGGGCUGCAACUUCUCAUGUUGCAGACUUUUCAGACGACGAGUAAGGUGCUUUUAGGUCGUGGUUCUAUACUCAGUGAUGCCGUUGGAGUUGAUGGACCCAUUUAUCUUCCGAGCCUUCCGCUGUUAUCGUUAUUAGAUGGCCUUAGGCCAUAUUUAUUGUAAUAAGAAUUCUUUGAGACAUUGAUGUAAUAAGUGUGUGAUUGCAACUCUGCUAUAAAUCCUUCGAAGUACUGUGUGGUGUCAGCAUUACUGAUCCAGGGAUGACACCGGAGCACAGUAGACUUGAUCCAUUCGGGUCGGGUCGCUACAGAGAUGGUAUCAGAGCACACACUGACUGUAGGACACGACCACUAAGUUAAAGCCAUAGAUCACCAUUCUCUUCUCAUUUUCUAACUCCUCAUCGUUUCUACUCUUUUAGGAUGACGAACGCGAAGAUUAAGUACGCUCAACCGGAUGAAGGCACACCAUUUGGAUUUCACCUGAAGGAAGUCACCAAGUACCUGAACAUUGGAUUACCAAGCUUCACGGGAACCUUCAACGCCACUCUGCCUGAAGAGGAGCACUGGAAGAUUCAAGCUCACGUUCCGGGAAGGACAUUCACACCAAUCACGAAGCCUAUAGAUAGUGUUUUCAAUGCACCAACCUGGAGGCUGGGAAGGAGCAUGGGAGCUCAUAUCACCAUGGGACGCAUUGGAGAAAUUUAUCAAGAAGACCUCAAGGACACUAUCUACCAGAUUUGCGGACACCGAGACGAACAAUGGGAGUUAGUCAGCACCAAGAAGGAUAGAUCCAUUGCAUCUUUCAUCCAGGAGUUAAACCAGCACAUUCGACGCCACGAGAACCAGAUGUGCAAUGAUAUGAUAGAGUUGAAGAAUGCAAAGGCAAGGAUCAUCAAGCUAGAAGGAGAACUGAAGUCUACACGCAAGGACUACAUGGACGAGAUCGUAGCUCUAGACACAAUGGCAAUCUUAAGCAGGAGAUUGAAGAACUCAAGAGGAAGUUAGCAUCCAAGGAGGAAGACGAGUACGUCGCAUGUCCGGGCAACUACAUCAUCAUCGACGACACCGAUUCGGAUCCAAGUGAACCCGACUUUGAAGACGAAGCUGGAGCAGAUAUCAUGGAGUCUUCCACCGGUUCAAAUUUCUAGAUGACCACCAGAUAGUAGUAGUAUUCCCCCAUGUAAACAUCAUAGUCGAGCACUUUUGCGAUAGUUUUAGACCGAUUGUAAGCCCUUGUUUGAUUGAAUGAAGUGAUUUUGGGUGCAUUUGCUCAUGCGCAUUGGGGUAGUGUUUUUCUCUUUAGACCUCACUCUAUUCUUAAUUCUCGUUUUUUCUAAACCCUCAGAUGCCUCCGAGACGUGACAAUGGAUUCCCACCGAAGCUCACUCAGUUGAUCCAGCAGUAGAAUCAAUUGAUGCAGAUGUUAGUCCAGAACCAGCAGAACAACAACAACAACAACCCACCACCACAACCACCACCACCUGUUGACCACUUAGCCCGUUUCCUUAGGCUGAAUCCGCCGGUGUUUUCCAGUAGCACCGAGCCAAUAGUAGCAGAUGAUUGGCUCCGCAAGAUAGGAAGGGAGUUGACCACUGCAGGAUGCACAGAUGGUGAGAAAGUGAAGUUUGCCGUACAUCAGCUUGACGGACCCGCGGCAGCAUGGUGGGAGAAUUUCACAGCCACUUACCCAGUUGACACUGUCACAUGGGAUCAGUUUCAGCAAGCUUUCCGCACUGCCCAUGUUUCAGCAGGAGCUAUGGCCAUGAAGAAGCGUGAGUUUCGCAACUUACGCCAAGGAGGAAGGACAGUUGGCCAGUACAUUGACGAUUUUAGCAAGUUAGCACGUUAUGCCCCAGAUGACGUUGCUACAGAUGCAGCUAAGCAGGAGAAGUUUUUGGAAGGACUGAAUGAUGAACUAAGCAUGCAUUUGAUGGUAGCGAGUUUCAACAACUACCAGGAGUUGGUAGAUCGUGCCAUCAUGAUUGAAGGAAAGCAACAGCAGAUUGAGAACCGUAAGAGGAAGUAUGGACAGGGGAAGUAUAACUCUAGAGCCCAGCAGAAGCCCCGUUUUACCCCUAAACCGGGUUUUCAGUUUCAGCAUACCCAUGGAGGAGGUAGUUCGCACAACCAUAAUGGCCACAAGAAUGGUAAUGGGAAUGGAGGAAGCAACGGCCAGAACCGUACCACCCCAUCGACCCCAACCAAGAGAGAUCUGAGUCAAGUCACUUGUUUCAAGUGUUCCAAGACCGGACAUUAUGCCAAUGAAUGUCCCGAAGGCCAGAAUGGAAAUGGAAAUGGAAGCUCUGGGAAGAAGCCGAACCCUUUCAAUAGGGGACAGGUGAACCACGUUAAUGUGGAGGAGGUUGAAGAUCAGCCUGAUGCAGUAAUCGGUAAGUUUUUGGUUAAGACAUUUACCGCACUCGUUCUUUUUGAUACUGGUGCAUCGCAUUCAUACAUAUCAAGGGGAUUUGUGGAAAAGUAUAGCCUGCCCACUAGGAUUCUUAAAACGCCUAUGCUAGUAAGCUCGCCAGGAGCAGAGUACAUGGCCAGACAAGGAUGUUUCCAAGUGCCAUUAAGUAUAGAAGGCAUGUUUUCCCAACGGAUUUAAUUAUUCUGGAGUCCCAAGGUCUGGAUGUGAUUCUUGGUAUGGAUUGGCUGUCGAUGUAUGGAGGAAACAUCGAUUGCGCCAGUAAGACAAUUUUGCUUACCACACCAGAAGGAAGAAGGAUCAAGUAUGUAUCCCGGCAUGUGCCAAACAGGACACAAGUAAACUGCCUAACAGGAGUUGUGCAAGAAGAAGUACCAGUGGUAAAGGAUUUUCCCAAUGAAUUUCCUGAGGAAUUACCAGGCAUGCCACCGGAUAGAGACAUUGAGUUUUUGAUUGAGUUAUUGCCAGGUACAGGCCCAAUAUCGAAGCAACCGUACCGGAUGCCAGCAAAGGAUUUGGUGGAAAUUAGGAAUCAGAUUAAGGAGUUAUUGGAUAAAGGUUACAUUCGCCCAAGUUCUUCGCCUUGGGGAUCACCCGUACUUCUAGUGGAAAAGAAGGAUGGAUCAUUAAGGAUGGUUGUAGAUUAUCGGGGAUCGAAUGAAGUAACCAUCAAGAAUAAGUACCCACUGUCAAUGACUAAUGAUCUGUUUGAUCGUUUGCAAGGAGCUAAAGUGUUUUCCAAGAUCGAUUUGCGAUCAGGGUACCAUCAAUUGAAGAUUCGAGAGCAGGACAUACCUAAGACAGCAUUCACCACAAGAUAUGGACUGUAUGAGUAUUACCGUUAUGUCAUUUGGAUUGACUAACGCACCUGCCUAUUUUAUGAACCUGAUGAACAAAGUGUUUAUGGAGUUUUUAGAUAAGUUCGUCGUAGUGUUCAUUGAUGACAUCCUGGUUUAUUCAAAGAAUGAAGAGGAGCAUAAGGAACAUUUGCGUUUGGUUUUGGAGAAACUAAGGGAACAUCAGUUAUACGCCAAAUUCAGCAAAUGUGAGUUUUGGUUGAAGGAAGUUGGAUUCCUCGGACACGUUAUAUCCGGAGAAGGUAUAGCAGUUGACCCCACUAAGGUUGAGACCGUAACCAAAUGGGAAUCACCAACGACGGUUGGAGAGAUCCGGAGUUUUCUUGGACUCGCAGGAUACUACCGGAGGUUCAUUGAGAACUUUUCAGAGAUUGCAAAGCCUAUGACUGAAUUGUUGAAGAAGGAUACUAAGUUCAAUUGGACUGAGGAAUGUGAGGCUAGUUUCCAGGAAUUGAAGAAACGCUUGGUUACCUCACCAGUAUUGAUUUUGCCAGAUCAGACCAAGGAUUAUGAGGUGUAUUGCGACGCUUCACGUCGAGGGCUUGGAGCAGUGCUUAUGCAGGAAGGAAGAGUUGUUUCGUAUGCUUCACGGCAACUGAAGCCUCAUGAGUUGAAUUAUGCCACGCAUGAUUUGGAGUUAGCAGCCGUAGUGCAUGCAUUGAAAACGUGGAGACAUUUCCUCAUUGGAAAUCAUUGUGAGGUGUACACGGAUCACAAGAGUUUGAAGUACAUUUUCACGCAGAAGGAGUUGAACCUCAGACAAAGGAGAUGGUUGGAGCUCAUCAAGGAUUAUGACAUGAGAUUGCAUUACCAUCCCGGAAAAGCUAAUGUGGUAGCUGACGCAUUGAGCCGUAAGAGCCAUGUCAACACCCUAGUGACGGGAGAAGUACCAAAGGAGUUAGCAGAAAACCUUCGUGAGCUAUGUUUGGAAAUAGUUCCGAGAGGCUAUGUAGCAACAUUGGAGAUUCAGUCAACAUUGAUGGAUAAGAUCAGAGAAGCUCAGAAAUCUGACAAGGAGAUUGCUACUAUAAAAGAGAAAUUGAGCGAAGGAAAAGCAAAGGGAUUUCGUGAGGAUGAGCACGAUACCUUAUGGUUUGAGGACCGUGUUUAUGUGCCCAAUGACCCGGAGAUCAGGAAGUUGAUUUUGCACGAGGCACAUGAUACACCAUAUUCGAUUCACCCAGGGAAUACCAAGAUGUAUUUGGAUUUGAAGGAAACAUUCUGGUGGACCGGAAUGAAGAAGGAUAUUGUAGCAUAUGUAGCAGUUUGUGACGUAUGUCAGAGAGUAAAGGAAGAGCAUCAGAAGCCAGCAGGAUUGUUACAACCAUUGCCAAUACCCGAAUGGAAGUGGGAUAAGAUAGGCAUGGAUUUUAUCACAGGACUACCCAGGACGAAAGCAGGCUCUGACUCGAUAUGGGUAGUAGUUGAUCAUUUGACGAAGGUAGCACAUUUCAUUCCAGUUAAGACCACUUACACCAGUGCUAAGUUGGCAAAGAUAUACAUGACUAGGAUCAUUUGUUUGCAUGGAGUUCCAAGGAGUAUCGUAUCAGAUAGAGGAACUCAAUUUACCUCAAAAUUUUGGAAUCAGUUGCAUGAAACUUUAGGAACCAGACUAGAGUUCAGCACAGCUUUUCAUCCGCAGACAGAUGGACAGACCGAGAGAGUCAAUCAGAUUUUGGAAGAUAUGCUGAGAGCUUGUGCACUAGAUUAUGGAUCUAGCUGGGACGAUAACUUGCCGUAUGCGGAGUUUUCUUAUAACAACAGUUACCAAACCAGUUUGAAAAUGGCACCUUUCGAAGCUUUAUACGGAAGGAGGUGCAGGACACCGUUGUCAUGGGACGAAGUUGGAGACCAUCAAUUCUUUGGACCAGAUUUGAUUAAGGAGUCUGAAUGGCAAGUUAAGUUGAUUCGCGAUAGGCUCAAGGUAGCCCAGUCCAGGCAGAAGAGCUACGCAGAUUCAAAACGCAAGGAGACAGUUUACGAAACUGGAGACAGAGUUUACCUUCGAGUAUCCCCACUUCGAGGAGUUAAGCGCUUUGGAGUUAAGGGAAAAUUAGCACCGCUCUUCGUUGGACCGUACAAGAUCUUGCAACGUAUGGGAGAAGUCGCUUAUAAGUUGGAAUUACCAGAGGAGCUGUCAGGAGUUCAUGAUGUAUUCCAUGUUUCUCAGCUGAAGAAAUGUCAUGCCGAGAUGGCGGAGGUACCGCUAAGAGAUACCGUGCCACUCGAAGCGAUUCAGUUGGAGGAUGACUUAACAUAUGAGGAGAAGCCAGUCAAGAUUCUCGAUUAUGCCAGCAGAGUUACCCGCAGCAAGGUUAUCAAGUUUUGCAAAGUUCAGUGGAACCACCACUCAGAGGAUGAAGCCACCUGGGAAAGAGAAGAAGAUUUGCUCAAGGACCACCCUCACCUAUUUUCUAGCCAACCCGAAUCUCGAGGGCGAGAUUCAUCUUAAGGGGGGGUAGGUUUGUAACAUCCCAAAUUUGCAAUUUGGAAUGUUAUACACUAGAUCAUCAUGCAUAUCAUAUUUUCAUGCAUUUUAGUUGAUCCUAGAAAUUUCACGCAACUCAAGGACCCACGGAGAGAGUUGGAGAUUUCGUUAUUUUCAUAUUUGAGUUCUCUCAAAUUUUGGAAAAGAGGAUCAUUUGAUUUAUUUAUUUCAUCUUCAAUUAUUUUUCCAAUAUCAAAAAAAAUGAGAGAGGGAAUAAUAUGACUUUCCCAAAGUUAGGAAAAAUGAAGAUUUAAUGAAUAAGUCAAGUUUUGGUUUUGCCGGAGUUUUGUUUGCUUUUAUUUGGAUAGGGAAAAUGCACGUUUUCAAGAAUUGCAUUUUAGGCCCGGAGAAAAGUUCAUUUUGUUCGACUCAUUUUUAGGAGUCGGGGAAAAUUUACUUUAGAUUUUUCGGAGUUCGUUUAGAUAGUUUUUCUUUUGUUUUUCUGCGCGCGAAACCGUUUUAAAAAAAGGAGCAGCUCCCGCGCGCCAGGCCAGCCGGCCCAAGGCCCAGCCAGCCGCCACCGCCCCCAGCCCCUCGCGCGAAGCCGAGUCCCAACGGGACUCUAGGCCGCCCCCCCCCCUUUUGCCCCUUGGCCAAGUCACACCCCCCUCCUAGUAUAUAUACUCGCCCCCCCUCUCUUUUCCUCCACCACCCAAGCCGCCGCCGCCUUAAGCUGUCGCCGCCGCCCUAAGCCGCCGCCCGGAGCCCCGCCUCCCGAGGUAGCCGCGCCGCCUCUUCUUUUCCUCGGUUCGGUUUUUCUUCUAGAAAACUGUUCCGGUUCUUCUCUUUUUUCUUUCGGUUUUUCUUCCGGCUUUGUUUCGGUUUUCUUCCGAAACCCUAGAUCGGUUUUCAUUCUUCUUUCGGACCAUUCGUCUCAACGAACGUGAUCACCGAUUUUUCCCGGUUAACGACGCCCGUUCGUUUAACCGUUCAUCUCUUUCUUUUCGUCGGAUUUAUUCCGCGAUCGUGAUCUCAGAUCCGAUCUUCGUUCUAGUCUUUCUUCCCGCUCGUUUAUCGGAAUCAGGUGAUUCAAGCGCCUGGAGUUUCGUCUCGAAACCGCCGUUCCGUCUAAUCAACUUGAACAAGACUUUGCUACAGUAAAAUUUGACCUAGUUUCAACUUGCUAGAACCGAGUUGCUUUCUUCCGCCGUUUGUUUUUCCGUCGUCUGUUCGGUUCUUUCUUUCUUUGCAACCAGAGUUCUUAAGUUGAACUUUCUGGUUCGUUCUCUUGUUCGAGUUUUACCUGUGCAUUAGAUGAGUACUUAUUGUGUGCUUGUUGUUUGUCUGCAAUAGAUCACCCGGAUUGCGCCGCUUGUUACUUCGAAACCCUAGGUCUCGCGGAUCAUCAGCAAGGCAACUAACACUUUGAUCAUACCUUUUCUACAACCCAUGUUUUAUUGCAUUAGAUCAAUCCUCUCACAUUGCAUGAUUAGGAUCUAAUUAAAUUGUGGGAUGGGAAGUAGAUGAGGUAGUACCUAUUACCUGUAUUAUUAUCAAACCUUUGGGAGUUACUUCUACGUUUGCUUAUUAUGCCAUGCUAUGCUAGUAGACGUGGAUUGGGUGAGUGAUAUCCAUGACAGAUGUGAGAUUGAGAAUUAAGGGUUUAUCUAAGGUGGCAACUUGAACACACAUCUGGGUGGAUUGAGGCACCUGAUGUCUAUCAGGACUUGCCUGUUUUUAUUUCGGACCGCCACCCAGGCUCAAAGGGAUCAUAAGAUCAUUCAUGCUAGUAACUUCCGUGUGCAGCCACAAGCCAUUAUGGGCUCUGGCAUAGUUGAUUAAGUCGUGCGAACUCUUACAGGGUAGACUAGCAGAUGUAGGGGAAAGUAGGUGUACCGGUCUAUCCAUCGUAAGGUGCUAGCGCUUCUGAAAGACUGUGUCUCGGUCUUCCGUCUUCUCAAACACCAUGUAGUGCGAGAAACCAAACGGAGGCGAUCGAGUCUUGUGGGGAAAAGUGCGCAAACCUCUGCAGAGUGUAACAAACUAAUCAUGAUUAGCCGUGUCCCCGGUUAUGGCCAACUUGAGUAUCUAGUACUUGAAUAUCAUGUGAAUCUCAUCACAUUACUUCUAAUUAAUGUUGUUGGGUUUUAAUUACUUAAUUGGGAUCGGAAUGCUGUCAACCAUUCUCGAUGUUUAACAACUACCAUGAUAGUUAAAUAAAUUUAUUCCUUUGCAGUAGGGAAAAACUGGCUUUACGCAAAACUGUAACCAUAGAGCUUUCCACCAGCCAUAUAUGCAUGUAGUAUAGCUGUUUCAUUCCAUUACUCUCUAUGUGUUACAUUGCCAGCAUAUCCCAUGUGCUGACCCGUUUUCGGGCUGCAACUUCUCAUGUUGCAGACUUUUCAGACGACGAGUAAGGUGCUUUUAGGUCAUGGUUCUAUACUCAGUGAUGUCGUUGGAGUUGAUGGACCCAUUUAUCUUCCGAGCCUUCUGCUGUUAUCGUUAUUAGAUGGCCUUAAGCCAUAUUUAUUGUAAUAAGUUCUCUUUGAGACAUCGAUGUAAUAAGUGUGUGAUUGCAACUCUGCUAUAAAUCCUUCGAAGUACUGUGUGGUGUCAGCAUUACUAAUCCAGGGAUGACACCGGAGCACAGUAGACUUGAUCCAUUCGGGUCGGGUCGCUACACACGAUGACCUAAGGACCACCAUAUUGCUGCUGGCAGUACUCAUGAUGUUUGAUCAUAACCAUGAGCUAAAGACUUGUACGUACAAAUAAUUUCCCAUACUUAGCUUCAUACUUACAUUAUGUUCCAGCAGUCAUAUGGGCAUAUGUCUGUCCUCAGUAUCCAUGAGCCUAUGUCUCCUCGCCGCCAGUGAGCUGCAAAAAAACAACAUUCAUACAUUUGAAUAACUUAAAGAUUUCCACUGGUAUUUGCAGAAGAUCAGAAAAUAGCGUACAAUUAAAUGAAACAAACUUCCUUACUCGAGUCGAACACUACCAGGGAGAUCAGCAAGAGUAUUUGCAAUCCCUGAUUCAGGGAUGACCUUAAGGCCAUGGAGGCAUGUACGGCCUCUCCACCUUACCUGGGCAUGUCGCAAUAGAUCAUUUAUCUCUAUCUAAUCAUAUCGAGAAUCCAAUCAUCUGUGUAUGCAUCUAUUUAUUCCAUAUCCAUAGAUGAAAUCCAAAUGUUAUGAUUUUAACCUCUAAGCGCGAUUUUAUAGGCUUAAAGUGUUCUCCACCAUAUAAACACCAUGAGCUAAGGAGUGCCAUAUUGCUGCUGGUUGUGCUCAUGAUGUUUGAUCAUAUCUGUGAACUAAAUACUUGUGCUUAUAAAUAAUUUCCCACACUUAAAUAGCUUCAUACUUACAUUAUGUUCUAGCAGUCAUAUGGGCAUCGUUCUAUCUCUAAGUAUCCAGGAGCCUAUGUCUCUUCGCCAACAAUGAGCUGCAGUAAAAGAACAUGUGUGACACUUGAAUAACUUAAAUAUUUCCACUGGUAUGAGUAGAUCAUAAGAAAAUAACGUACAAUUGAAUCAAACAAACUGCAUUACUCUAGUCGAACCGUACCAAGGAGAUCAUCAAGAGUAUGUGCAAUCUCUGAUUCAGGGAUGACCUUGAGGACAUGGAGGCAUGAUGGCCUCUGCACCUUGAUGGGCAGGUCGCAAUAGAUCAUUUUUCUCUCUAUAAUCAUACUGAGAAUCCGAUCAUCUGUGUAUGCAUCUCUUUAUUCCAUAUUCUCAUCAUCUAGUAUCUAACUAUGCAUCCAUAAAUCCUAUUAUCCAUUGAUUCUAUAUUUGUGUCAUCACCAAGCACCAUAGAGAUGAAGCGUUUGGGACAUCGAGAAGAGAUAAAACCUCAAAUUAAAGGGGAUGGAGCCUCGGCACCAUACUGGCUGGAGGCAGUACAAUUAGGGGUGCGUAAUCUAGUUGGGGAGGGCAUCCGGCCGCUGGCAAGUGGCAACGGCAUAAACAUAAAGUGGCCUGAUACCUGAUGGCAAGGGCGUUCACCGCUCAGCAAUGAUAAGCGUGGCGACACAACAAACCUGUCCUGGAGAAAGAUGCAAGAAGUGAGAUGCUAGGGUUAUCGAAACUGAAGAACCCAUGUACAACAAUGGUCAGCGAAUGCAACGACGAAGAAGCGGGGCCAUGUGCGGGAAAAAAGAAUGACAAUACCUGUAGGAUCUAGCGUUCAACAACUUAUGAAUGUUUUUUUCAAGGAAACAACUUGGGAUUGCUGGGAGAGGACGCUCAGAUUUCCUAUAUUUCUUAUUUCUCAAGGAAACAGUGAGAGUGCAAGGUGAAAACGAUUUUCUCAAGUCUUUUUCCCAAGAAAAACAACUUGGGAUGGUUAGCGGGGGAUGUUCAGAUCUCCUAUGCAUCUUGUUUCCCAAAUAGGCAGGAGAGUCCAAGGUUAGAAAGAUUUGAGUCAUGAGAGAUUGCUAGAGAGAGACGUGAGAGAGAGGUGGAUAUAAAUUGUUUUCUUUUUUGUUUUUCUAGGAGUCAUGAGAGUUUGCCAAAUAGAGACAUGAGAGAGAUGGAUACGUAAGAUUUGUUUUUUUUUUGUUUUUUUGGCGGUUGAGAUUGGUUUUAUGAUGGAAUUCAUGAGUCGAUCUACACCGUAAUAAUUCGGUCCCACCAGAUUAACGGCUCGUAAAAUCUAAUUUACGUGGGAAUUUUUUGGAAGUCUAGAAUUAGUAGAGGUAUAGAUAGAUAGAUAGAUAGAUAUAGAUAUAGAUAUAGAUAUAGAUAUAGAUAUAGAUAUAGAUAGAUAGAUAGAUAGAUAUAGAUAGAUGCUCUACAGGUGUCUCUGAAGGUGUUUGUUGAGUUGGCAUAGAUCGAGAUUAGGAUUUUUUAACUCUGUGUAUCGGAGAGUUAUCUCUGGGCCCUCUCGGUAAUGCACAUCACUAUAAGCCUUGCAAGCAAUCUGACUAAUGAGUUAGUUGCGGGAUGAUGCAUUACGGAACAAGAAAAGAGACUUGCCGGUAACAAGAUUGAACUAGGUAUGAUGAUACCGGCAAUUGAAUCUCGGACAAGUAACACACUGAUAACAAAGGAAAUAACGUAUGUUGUUAUGCGAUUUGACCGAUAAAGAUCUUCGUAGGAUAUGUAGGAGCCAAUAUGAGCAUCCAGGUUCUGCUAUUGGUUAUUGACCAGAGAUGUGUCUCGGUCAUGUCUUACACGUCUCCAACGUAUCUAUAAUUUUUGAUUGUUAUAUUAUCAAUCUUGGAUGUUUUAUAAUCAUUUUAUAUCAUUUUAUGGUACUAACCUAUUGACAUAGUUCCAAGUGCCAGUUGCUGUUUUUCCAUGUUUUUUACAUCACAUAAAAUCAAUAUCAGACGGAGUCCAAAUGCCCCGAAACUUUACGGAGAAUAUUUAUGGGCCAGAAGGAACACAGCGAGCCCUGGCUACGUCUAGGGGGUGCCCUGAGGGGGGCACAACCCACUAGGGCGCACCAGGAGGCCCAUGUGCGCCCUGGUGGGUUGUGCCCACCUCGGGUGCCCCCCGGACCGCCUCUUUGCUCUAUAAAUACCCCAAUAUUUCAGAAACCCUAGGGGAGUCGACUAAAAUCAAUUUCAGCCGCCGCAGAGUCCAGAACCACCAGAUCCAAUCUAGACACCAUCAUGGAUGGUGUUCACCACCUCCACUGGUGCCUCUCCGAUGAUGCGUGCGUACUUCUUUGUAGACCUUCGGGUCCAUAGUUAGUAUCUAGAUGGCUUCCUCUCUCUCAUUUGAUUCUCAGUACAAUGGUCUCUUGGAGAUCCAUAUGAUGUGACUCUUUUUGAGGUGUGUUUGUUGGGAUCAGGUGAACUUUGAUUUUAUGACCAGAUCUAUCUUUUUAUAUCCAUGAAAGUAUUUGAGUUUCUUUGAUCUUAUGCAUGAUUUCUUAUAGCCUCGUAUUUCUUCUCCUACAUUUGGGUUUUGUUUGGCCAACUUGAUCUAUUUAUCUUGCAAUGGGAAGAGGUGCUUUGUAGUGCGUUCGAUCUUAUGGUGCUUGAUCCCAAUGACAGAAGGGCAACCGACACGUAUGUAUCAUUGCUACUAAGGAUAAAACGAUGGGGUCUAUCUCUACAUAGAUAGAUCUUGUCUACAUCAUGUCAUCGUUCUUAUUGCAUUACUCUGUUUCUCCAUGAACUUAAUACACUAGAUGCAUGCUGGAUAGUGGUCGAUGUGUGGAGUAAUAGUAGUAGAUGCAGGCAGGAGUCGGUCUACUAAUCUUGGACGUGAUGCCUAUGUAAUGAUCAUUGCCUGGAUAUCGUCAUGAUUAUUUGAAGUUCUAUCAAUUGCCCAACAGUAAUUUGUUUACCCAUCAUUUGCUAUUUUUCUCGAGAGAAGCCACUAGUGAAACCUACGGCCCCCGGGUCUCUUUCUCAUAUUAUUUGCCUUCGCGAUCUAUUUUAUUUGCCUUUUAUUUCCAGAUCUAUUAAAUCUAAAAAUGCAAAAAUACCUUGCUGCAAUUUUAUUGGGCGUUCGGUCUAUCAAUAUUUACAACUUUCUCCCGUCCACGUACCAAUUUCUGUCACCGUUACCCGAAAGGGAUUGACAACCCCUUUAACACGUCGGGUUGCGAGUAUUUAUUAUUUGUGUGUAGGUGUUGUUUACGUUGUGUUGAUUUGUUCUCCUACUAGUUCGAAAACCUUGGUUUCAUAUCUGAGGGAAAUACUUACCGCCGAUGUGCUGCAUCAUCCCUUCCUUUUUGGGGAAAUACAAACGUAGUUUCAAGCGACAUCAAAAGGAAUUUCUGGCGCCGUUGCCGGGAGGAUCUUCAACAUAUAUUAGGUUCCUAAUCACAAAUCUCAUCUCCUCGCAAUUUACAUUAUUUUCCAUUUGCCUCUCAUUUUCCUCUCUCUCACUUCACAAAAAAUUGCCGUUUUAUUUUCCCCUUUUUUUCGUUCGCCAUUUUCCUGUCGGGUCUGCAAUCUUGUUUAUUGUUAUUAUCAUCAUGGAUAGUUCUUCCUCUAUUGCGUGCACUCGCGAGAAUGAGGUUCUCAACUUUAAACAAGGGGGGGGGGGAUUUAAAAGAUGCUUGGUAUAGACUUUGCAAUGCUCAUAAUAGAUCUAUCCAUAAGCAAUCUACCGUUGUUCUUCUUCGUUGCUUUUAUGUGGGCAACACCACUUGGUAUAGAUCCGUCCUUGAUACGAUUACCGGUGGAAAUUUGUUGAUGUGUCCCUCUCUUGAUGCUUUUAAUGCUAUGGGAAAUUUAGUAGGCUGGCCACCUCUUAUGAUUAAGGAAACAACUUUAACUCUUGAGCAUGUCAUGGAAAGAUUAGAUGCUAUUGAAAAGAAAAUGCUUACUGAAGAGCAUAUUGAAAAUUUGGAUUAAAAUAUGCGUAAUUUUUCUACUAAAAUUGGGUCAAAAGCGGGGGAAGUUUUUAAGUUAUGAAACAAAAAGGGAACUAUAAUCCAUGAAAGAAUUGAAGAAAGCCCGUCUCGGAUUGAUAAAUCGGAAGAAAUCUUUAGUAAUUUGAGUACAGCUUUUGCUUCCGCUAAAAUUGUUGAGAAAACUCCCGUAAAAAUUGGCAAGACUGCCAAAGCUACCAAAAGCAAGGGUGCAACUUCUAGUAAAGAGGAUCUUAAGAUGAUUAGUAUCCACCCGAUUUUUCUUGAAGUCAUAAGAGAUCCCCUUGGCAAGAAUGAAUUAUUUAAAUUUGUUCCUAUGAGUAUUGUCAUUGAAAAUCUCUAUGCUAAAUCUCUAAGAGAUCAUAAGUGUUUGAUUGAAGAGUUAAACAAAGAUGAGAAAACUUAGAUCCUUGCUUUAUGCCUAGCUAAGGGCAUAAAACUAUAGCGCUUGUUGGGAGGCAACCCAAUGAAUAAAAUUUAUUUUUUCUUUUUGCUUUAUGUUCUUGAGUGUUAGAACAAUUAUACUACUAUUAUGAUUGUGUUUUUUAUGUUUUAAUUAGUGUGUGUGCCAAGUAAAGCCGUUAGGAUCUUCUUGGGUGAUAGUUGUUUGAUCUUGCAGAAAAAACAAAAACUUUUGCGCUCACGAAAAUAAUUUUCAUUUUUAACCAUAGAGAGAUAAAAUACUCAUUCCUUUUGAAGUAGAUUAAUAUACAAAUUGCUCAAGUCGUCCCAAUUGUUCAGAAUUUUUGGAGUUACAGAAGUAUUUUUGGAGCCAGAUUGCUACAAACUGUUCUGUUUUGACAGAUUCUAUUUUCUUUGCGUUGUCUGCUUGUUUGUUUUGAUGGCUCUAUGGUUUUAUUUGAUGAGUUUUUGCCAUAUAAAAGUUGGAAUACAGUAUAUAUAAUGGAAAAACAAAAUAUGAAUUGGUUUGAUACAGUACUUACAUGUAACGCCCCGAGUCCGAUGUGCUAGGUGUCUUCCAGUUAUUCGUUGUUGUUGCCUUGUCAUUGCUUGCGUAUCAUGCAUCUCAUAUCAUGUCAUCAUGUGCAUUUCAUUUGCAUACGUGUUCGUCUCAUGCAUCCGAGCAUUUUCCCCGUUGUCCGUUUUGCAAUCCGGCGCUCCUAUGUCAUCUGAUGUCCCUUCCUACCUCUUUUUUGUGUGCGGGUGUUAAACGUUUUCGGAUUCGACCGAGACUUGUCAUGCGGCCUUGGUUUACUACCUGUAGACCGCCUGUCAAGUUUCGUGCCAUUUGGACUUUGUUUGAUACUCCAACGGUUAACCGAGGGACCGAAAAGGCCUCUUGUGUGUUGCAGCCCAACACCCCUCCAAAGUGGCCCAAAACCCACCUAAAUCUACUCCAUCAUCUAGGCCAUUCAAUCAUGAUCGCGUGGCCGCAAACCGCACCUCAUUUGGACUCUCCUAGCUCCCUCUACCUAUAAAUAUGUGGCUCUCCUCGAAAAUCCACGCAGAUCAAACCCUAACUUCGUCCUGCUUGCGCCGCCGGACGAAAUCCCCACCGCGCCCGGACAUGUCCAGCCGCCGCCCCGGCAAAUCCCGCGCUUCCACCUCACCCCGCCGGCCUUCUCUCUCCUCCGCGGCCCGCCCAGGCCCGGGGCAAGCUCGGCGAAGCCCAUCGGGGCCCGAGGCCGCACCUGCGAGAGCCCGCGUCGCCGGUCUGCGCGCCGCCGCCGCGCCCUUUGCCGGAUGCCGCCGGAGCCCCCGCCGACUCGCCGGCGUUCGUCAUUGCGCCGCGCGCCACCCGAGGCACCUCGUCGCCACCCCGGAUCCACCGCCGCUCCGCCGCAGGAGCUCCACCGCCACCACCGUGCCUCCCCGUGCCCGGUUCGGAUCCGGCUCGGGCUCUACGCCCCUCGACUCCGGCAGACCGGAUCGGCCGGCGAGCGCGCCCGCCCCACUUGCCAGGGCCUCCCACCGACCUCCUCCGCCGGAUCCCGCACCCCUGCACCUCCCCGGGUGUCUUCUUCUCUGUCUCCGGCCCAACUCCGGUGAGGGAUCCGACCAACCUCGAGAUCCGUGCCAAGAACCCUAGAUCUGGAUGGGUAAAAUAUCUCUAAGUCCUUUUCCCCCCAGUAUUUUUUUGGCAUUUUCAUCGCAUCAUAACUUCAUCACCGUGGCUCUGAUUCAUGCGUGUAGCAUAUCAAAAUGUUCGUCUCGAUGAGUACAUCAUUUCAUCUCAUUGCAUCAUUUUCAUUUAAGCUCAUAUUGAUGCCCGAAAUGCUGUUGGAAGAGGGCUAUGUGAUGAUAGUUUCAUAUCUGUUUCAGCAAAUGCACUUUUGUUAGUUUUGCCAUGAUUAAUGUGUGCAUGCUAUGAUCCUGAGCUCCACAUGUGUUUUGUAGAAUGUCAUGCCAUAUUUAUAGGGGUGUAUGCCAUGUAUUUUUGUGAUCUUCGUGGUGACUAGCACAAGCAUGCAAAGUAGCUUACUCAAUGUUGCUGAAUUCAGGGACUUAGAAUUUCACUAAGUCCUUGCCCUGUCAUUAUUUUUAUGCCAUAUGUUCAUGUUGUUUCCUAGUGAUCCGUGCCUCUUUUGAGCAUGACCACUAAGGAUGUUUUGUAGAGUUUGUUGUGCUCUAUCCAUCCAUGUCUUUGUUUGCAAUUUUGGAGCACCCUAGCUUGAGUUAAUCGAGCUCUACUUUUGCUAUAAAUUGUUCCUGGCAGAUUGUUAACAUGUUUAGCAAUUUUGCCGAGCAUAUUGUUGUUGAUCCGUGCAUGCUAUGUUGUUGUUCUUGCCAUGUCUAGCUUCUAUGCCAUGUCUACUUGCAGGUUGUAUGCUUAGUUUGUCAUGCAAUGCCUCGUAGUGAGUGUGUCAAGCUCGUAAACAUGCCUACUUGAUGUCUGUUUUGCAUGCUCCAGUUUUUCACUAAGUCUGAAUCUGUUUUCGAUAAUUGCUAUGUUCACAUGCUUGCAAUUGUAUUUUCUAAUCCCUUUUGGCUCAUGGUCACUAAGGGACUUUUGUUGUAUGCUUUGAGUAGCUUCAUGCCAUGCUUUGAUUUGCCAUGAUAUGUUCCUGUAGCAUAUAGUUAUUGUGCUCUACACAUUGCUUCCUGAUGAUAAAUUCCUGACAUGCUGUUAAUUUCACUAAGUCCGAAACCUGUUAUCUUUUGCACUUUUGCCAUGCUUGUUUGAGCUUGCUAUUAAGUGAAUUAGCCGUAGCUAAGUGUUCAUAUUUUGUCAAGCAUCAUGAGUGGAUCCCUGCCAUGUAUUUUGUUGUCAUGUUGGAGUGCUGUAGCAUGUUGUUUUUGAUGCAUUUAGAUGGUCUCUUGCUGUUAAUCGCAGACCGGUGCCAUAUUUGUUUUGCUUGCCAUUUCCAAACCGUGCAUCCGAUUUCGGUGAUCUUUAUAUCGGUUUCGACCGAAAUCGACUCCUCUUUCCAGUGGAAUUCUUGGUUUUACAAGUUGAGUCCAGGUUCAAUCAUUCCUUUCCAAAUCAUGCAUAUGCACCGCAUACCGCAUCCCGCAUAUCAUGUCAUGUUCAUGUGUUGGUUGUUUACUAUGUUGUGUGCUUCUUUCCGGUGUUGCUUCUUCGGGUUGGUUCUGAUAACGUCGCGUUUGUGAGGACCCGUUUGAAUACGUCCGUUCGUCUUCUUCAUGGACUCGCUCUUCUUCCUUGCGGGAUUUCAGGCAAGAUGACCAUACCCUCGAAAUCACUUCUAUCUUUUCUUGCUAGUUGCUCGCUCUAUUGCUAUGCCUAUGCUACGAUACCUACCAGUUGCUUAUCAUGCCUCCCAUAUUGCCAUGUCAAGCCUCUAACCACCUUGUCCUAGCAAACUGUUGUUUGGCUAUGUUACCGCUUUGCUCAGCCCCUCUUAUAGUGUUGCUAGUUGCAGGUGAAUAUUGGAGUUUGUUCCUUGUUGGAACAUGAUUUUUGUUGGGAUAUCACAAUAUCUCUUAUCUAUAUUAAUGCAUCUAUAUACUUGGUAAAGGGUGGAAGGCUCGGCCUUAUGCCUAGUGUUUUGUUCCACUCUUGCCUCCCUAGUUUCCGUCAUAUCGGUGUUAUGUUCCCGGAUUUUGUGUUCCUUACACGGUUGGGUUAUAAUGGGAACCCCUUGACAGUUCGCCUUGAAUCAAACUCCUCCAGCAAUGCCCAACAUUGGUUUUACCAUUCGCCACCUAGCCUCUUUUUCCCUUGGGUUCCGCGAACUCAAGGGUCAUCUUUAUUUAAACCCCCCCUGGGCCAGUGCUCCUCUGAGUGUUGGUCCGACCGAGUAGACUGUGGGGCCACCUCUGGGCAACUUGAGGGUUGGUUUUACUCGUAGUAUGUCUCAUCUGAGUGUGCCCUGAGAACGAGAUAUGUGCAGCUCCUAUCGGGAUUUGUCGGCACAUUCGGGCGGUGUUAUUGGACUUGUUUUACCAUUGUCGAGGAUGUCUUGUAACCGGGAUGCCGAGUCUGAUCGGAUUGUCUUGGGAGAAGGAAUAUCCUUCGUUGACCAUGAGAGCUUGUGAUGGGCUAAGUUGGGACACCCCUGUAGGGUUUUGAACUUUCGAAAGUCGUGCCCGUGGUUAUGGGCAGAUGGGAAUUUGUUAAUGUCCGGUUGUAGAAAACCUGAAACUUAUCUUAAUUAAAACGCAUCAACCGCGUGUGUAACCGUGAUGGCCACUUCUCGGCGGGGUCCGGGAAGUGAACACGGUGUUGGAGUAAUGCUUGACGUAGGUUGUUCUAGGAUCACUUCUUGAUCAUAGUUGUUCGACCGUGCUUUUGCCUUCUCUUCUCGCUCUCAUUUGCGUAUGUUAGCCACCAUAUAUGCUAGUCGCUUGCUGUAGCUCCACAUCAUACCUUUGCCUUUCCCAUAAGCUUAAAUAGUCUUGAUCGCAAGGGUGUGAGAUUGUUGAGUCCCCGUGACUCACAAAUACUUCCAAAACCAGUUUCAGGUGCCGAUGUUACCGAGCAGGUGACGCAACCAAGCUCAAGGAGGAGCUCGAUGAAGAUCUUGUCCUUUGUGUUGUUUUGUUCUAGUUGAUCAGUAGUAGAGCCCAGUUGGGGUCGAUCGGGGAUCUGUGUAGCAUUUGGGGUAGUCUUCUUUUAUUUUGGGUUCCAUAGCCGGACCUUGAUUGUAUCUGGAUGAUGUAAUGCUUUAUUCAUGUAAUUGUGUGAAGUGGCGAUUGUAAGCCAACUAUGUAUCUGUUUCCCCUUAUUGUAUUACAUGGGUUGUUGUGAAGAUUACCUCACUUGAGGCAUUGCUUUCAAUGCGGUUAUGCCUCUAAGUCGUGCUUCGACACGUGGGAGAUAUAGCUGCAUCGAGGGCGUUACAUUACAGUAGUGAUUCGCUUUCUUUUACUAACGGAUCUCACGAAGGUUUUGUUGAGUUUUGUGUGAUUGAAGUUUUCAAGUUUUGAGUUAUCUUACGAUGGAUGAUGGAAUAAGGAGUAAGAAGAGCCUAUUCCAAAAGAGAGCAAGCAACUAAGCUCGGGGCAUCCCCUCUUUCUUCUAACGACCAUCGUUAUUUUACUCGAAGCUAUAUUUUUAUUCAUCACAUACUAUGAGUUUUGCUUGGAGCGUCUUGUAUGAUAUGAGUCUUUGCUUGUUUUAUUUUAUGUUUUAAGUCUUGAUUCCUUGCUGGACACACCUAUUUGAGAGAGCCAAAAUUAUGCCAUGACUUGUUAGAAUUGCUCUCUAUGCUUCACUUAAAUUUUUUAUGAGCUAUGGACUUGCUCUAGUGCUUCACUUAUAUCUUUUUUAGCACAACGUGCUUUAGUAUUUUUUAAGAAAUGAUCUCUUGCUUCACUUAGAUUUAUUUGAGAGUUAGUAAAAUUUUCAAGAAAUUCUCUCUUGCUUCACUUAAAUUAAUUUGAGAGAAAGAAAUUUUAUGCUCAUGAUCUUCACUUAUAUUUGUUUAAGCUUAUCAAAAGCAACAUAUGAAAAUUAGUUCCAAAGUGAUAGAUAUCCAAAAAGGAUAUAAUAAAAACUUUCAUGAAGAUCAUUGGACAAAAUAAACUUGAUUCUUAGUAAUAGUUUUGAGAUAUGAUGAUGUGAUAUGUGAGUCAUGUUGAUGAGUAAUUAUGCUUUAGUAAGAAUAUUGGUGUUAAGGUUUGUGAUUCCCUAUGCAAGCACGAAAGUCAAUAAUUAUGCAAUGAAAUUAUAUCCUACUUGUGGUGCAUUAUUCGGUGUUAAUUAUGCUUACUGCUUGCUUAUGAUAUUAUUCGUUUCUUGGUUGGUCGCUUCUCAAUCUUUUGCUAGCCUUCAUUUUGCACUAAGUAUGAUCGCUACUUGUGCAUCCAAAAACCUUUAAACCAGCUUUGCCAUAUGAGUCCACUAUAUCAACCUAUAUGCGGUAUUCUUUUUCCAUUCUAAGCAAAUUUGUAUGUGCCAUCUCUAAUUUUCAAAAUAAACUUCUCUUUUGUGUGUUCAUUUCGCUCACGGAGCGGUGAGGGGUGGCUAAUAUUUUCCAUGCUAGAUGUGAUAUUCUCACGAUGAGUGUUUAUUCACUUGUCAUUGCACAGGAGUAAGGCAAAGGUAUUAGGGAUGCCUAGUCCCGAAAUGAAAAAUGAAUUUACUUUAUGUUGUCAAAUAAUAAAUUCCUUGGAAAGUGUUGGUAUGGAGGGCAACCAUGGAUACGGCUAGCCAUGGAAAGUGAAAGUAUGGUGGAAAAAGGAAUAAAAUUUUUUUCUGUUUGGGAAACGCAGAUGAUAUCUAGCAUGGAAAGUGUUGGGAACUCUAAGUCAUUUUCGUUGGUGGGAAGGACACACUGAUACGUCUCCAACGUAUCUACUUUUCCAAACAAUUUGCCCUUGUUUUCGACUCUAACUUGCAUGAUUUGAAUGGAACUAACCUGGAGUGAUGCUGUUUUCAGUAGAAUUGCCAUGGUGUUAUUUUUGUGUAGAAAUAAAAGUUCUCGGAAUGACCUGAAAAUCAAAGGAGAUUAUUUUUGGAAUAUAUAAAAAAUACUGACGAAGGAAUCAAGGCCAGGGGGCCCACAUCCUGUCCACGAGGGUGGGGGGUGCGCCUACCCCCACUGGGCGCACCCCUCUGCCUCGUGGGCCCCCUGGUGCUCCACCGACCUCAACUCUAACUCCAUAUAUUCACGUUCGAGGAGAAAAAAAUUAGAGAGAAGGAUUCAUCGCGUUUUACAAUACGGAGCCGCUAUCAAGCCCUAAUCUCUCUCGGGAGGGCUGAUCUGGAGUCCGUUCGGGGCUCUGGAGAGGGGAAUCCAUGGCCAUCGUCAUCAUCAACCUUCCUCCAUCACCAAUUUCAUGAUGCUCACUGCCUGCGUGAGUAAUUCUAUCAUAGGCUUGCUGGACGGUGAUGGGUUCGGUGAGAUUUAUCAUGUAAUUGAGUUAGUUUUGUUAGGGUUUGAUCCCUAGUAUCCACUAUGUUCUGAGAUUGAUGUUGCUAUGACUUUGCUAUGCUUAAUGCUUGUCACUAGGGCCUGAGUGCCAUGAUUUCAGAUCUGAACCUAUUAUGUUUUCAUGAAUAUAUGUGAGUUCUUGAUCCUAUCUUGCAAGUCUAUAGUCACAUAUUAUGUGUUAUGAUCCAUUAACCCCGAAGUGACAAUAAUCGGGAUACUUACCGGUGAUGACCGUAGUUUGACGAGUUCAUGUAUUCACUAAGUGUUAAUGCUUUGGUCGAGUACUCUAUUAAAAGGAGGCCUUAAUAUCCCUUAGUUUCCAAUAGGACCCUGCUGCCAUGGGAGGGUAGGACAAAAGAUGUCAUGCAAGUUCUUUUCCAUAAGCACGUAUGACUAUAUUCAGAAUACACGCCUACAUUACAUUGAUGAACUGGAGCUAGUUCUGUGUCACCCUAUGUUAUAACUAUUACAUGAGGAAUCACAAUCGACAUAAUUAUCCAUCACUGAUUCGUUGCCUACAAGCUUUUCACAUAUUGUUCUUUGCUUAGUUACUUUUCCGUUGCCACUGUUACAAUCACUACAAACCCAAUACUGUUACUUUUGCUACUGUUACCGCUACUAUCAUAUUACUUUGCUACAAAUACUUUGCUGUAGAUAUUAAGUUUCCAGGUGUGGUUGAAUUGACAACUCAGCUGCUAAUACUUGAGAAUAUUCUUUGGCUCCCCUUGUGUCGAAUCAAUAAAUUUGGGUUGAAUACUCUACCCUCGAAAACUGUUGCGAUCCCCUAUACUUGUGGGUUAUCAAGACUAUUUUCUAGCGCCGUUGCCGGGGAGCAUAGCUCUAUUCUUUGAGUCACUUGGGAUUUAUAUCUGCUGGUCACUAUGAAGAACUUGAAAGAUGAAAGAACCAAGAUUUUUCCCUCAACUACGAGGGGAGGUAAGGAACUGCCAUCUAGCUUUGCACUUGAUUCACCUUUUGUUUUGAGUAAACUUGCGACACCUACUCCUGCUAUUCAUUCUAAUAUGUCGCAUGUUAUUGAUGAUGCCACUUCUGCUUUGCAUGAUACUUAUGAUGAAACUACUUCUAUGCUUGAUAAUACUGUGCCACUAGGUGAAUUUCUUGAUGAACAACUUGCUAGGGUUAGAGAGAAUGAAAUUAUUGAAACUGAUAAUAUUGAUGAAAGUGAUGAUGAAGAUUCUCCCCCUAUAUAUGAAUUGCCUGUUGUGCCUGAGGGUUAUGUUAUGGAUGAAGAAACUGCUAUAGACUUUUUAGCUUGCAAUGAUAGAUCUGAUCUUAAGAAAUUAUUUGCUAAGCUUAAACAAAAGUCCUUGAAUGCUAGAAUGAAAUAUGACCCUGCUUUUGCUACUUCACCUAUCUUUAUUUCCGAUAAGGAUUAUGAUUUCUCUGUCGACCCUGAGUUAAUUACUUUGGUUGAAUCUGAUCCUUUUUAUGGCUAUGAAUCUAAAAUUGUUGUGGCACAUCUUACUAAAUGAAAUGAUAUAGACACCCUGUUCACUAAUGAUGAGAAAACUCGCUAUUACUUUAUUCUUAAGUUAUUUCUAUUCUCAUUAAAGGGUGAUGCUAAAACAUGGUUUAAUUCUCUUGAUUCUGGCUGUGUGCGUAGUCCCCAGGAUAUGAUUUAUUACUUCUCUGCUAAAUAUUUCCCUGCUCAUAAGAAACAUGCUGGCUUAAGGGAAAUAUAUAAUUUUGUGCAAAUUGAAGAAGAGAGUCUCUCACAAGCUUGGGGGAGGCUUCUCCAAUUACUUAAUGCUUUGCCUGAUCAUCCUCUCAAGAAAAAUGAAAUACUUGAUAUCUUUUAUAAUGGACUAACUGAUGCUUCUAGAGACCACCUGGAUAAUUGUGCUGGUCGUGUUAUCAGGGAAAGAACUAUUGAUCAAGCUGAAUUGCUAUUGAAUAAUAUGUUGGGUAAUGAAAAUGAUUGGAUACUUCCUGAACCAACUCCUAAGCCAACUCCGAAAUAAAGGGGUAUUCUAUUUCUUAGUCCUGAAGAUAUGCAAGAGGCAAAGAAAUCUAUGAAAGAAAAAGGUAUUAAAGCUGAAGAUGUUACGAAUUUACCACCUAUUGAAGAAAUGCAUGGUCCUGAUAACCCAACACAGGUAGUAAAGGUAAAUUCUCUCUAUAUAUUUGAUGAAGGUGAUAUUCCUCGUUAUAAGUCUGCUAGCCAAUGCUUACAUGAGUUUGAUAAUGUUAUUGUUAAACAAGAAGACUUGAAUGCUUAUGUUGGUAGACAAUUGAAACGUAAUGCUUAUAUGAUUGAACACUUGAGUGAUUAUAUGUCUGGAGUUAAAGGUGAACUCAAACUUAUUAGUAAACAUGCUUCUAUGGUUACCACUCAAGUAGAACAAGUACUUAAGGCUCAGAAUGAUUUGCUCAAUGAAUUAAAUAAUAAGAAAAAUGAUAAUGUUGUUAGAGUUAUGACUAGAGGAGGUAAAAUGACUCAGGAACCUUUGUAUCCCGAGGGCCACCCUAAGAGAAUUGAGCAAGAUUCUCAGAGAACUAAUAUUGAUGCACCUAGUUCUUCUAAGAGGAACAAACAGAAAAAUGAUAGGACUUUGCAUGCUUCUAGUGAACCUGUUGUUGACACACCUGAGAAUCCCAAUGAUAUUUCUAUUUCUGAUGCUGAAACACAAUCUGGUAAUGAACAUGAACCUUCUGAUAAUGUUAAUGAUGAUGUUCAUGUUGAUGCUCAACCUAGCAAUGAUAAUGAUGUAGAGAUUGAACCUGUUGUUGAUCUUGAUAACCCACAAUCAAAGAAUCAACAUUAUGAUAAGAGAUACUUUGUUGCUAGGAAGCACAGUAAAGAAAGAGAACCAUGGGUUCAGAAACCCAUGCCUUUUCCUCCUAAACCAUCCAAGAAAAAGGAUGGUGAGGAUUUUGAGCGCUUUGUUGAAAUGAUUAGACCUAUAUUUUUGCAUAUGCGUUUGACUGAUAUGCUUAAAAUGAACCCUUAUGCUAAGUACAUGAAGGGUAUUGUUACUAAUAAAGAAAGAUACUGAAAGCUAAAAUUUCCACCAUGCUUGCUAAUUAUACUUUUAAGGGUGGAAUACCAAAGAAACUUGGAGAUCCACGAUUACCAACUAUACCAUGCUCCAUUAAAAGAAACUAUGUUAAAACUGCUUUAUGUGAUCUUGGAGCCGGUGUUAGAGUUAUGCCUCUCUCUUUAUAUCAUAGACUUGAUUUGAAUAAGUGGACACCUACUGAAAUAUCUUUGCAAAUGGCUGAUAAAUUAACUGCUAUACAUGUCGGUAUUUGUGAGGAUGUGCCUGUUGUAGUUGCAAAUGUUACUAUUUUAACGGACUUUGUUAUUCUUGAUAUUCUCGAGGACGAUAGUAUGUCUAUUAUUCUUUGUAGACCCUUUCUGAAUACUGCAGGGGCUGUUAUUGAUUGCAAGAAAGGCAAUGCCACUUUUCAUGUUAAUGGUAAUGAGCAUAUGGUACACUUUCUGAGGAAACAACCUCAAGUCCACAGUAUCAAUUCUAUUGGAAAAUUUCAACAAUUACUAUUGGAGGUUUUGAAUUUCGUCUUCCUACUGUCAAGAAGAAAUAUGAUAUUCUUAUUGUUGGGGAUGUGCAUAUCCCAGUUGAGGUAACCUAGUGUUAUUUGAAAUUUAUCUGGUUUCAUGCAAUUCGGAAUGAGUUUGUUAACAAGACUUGAUCAACCUUGUUAGUGGAUUCCUUUUCAUGAGCAUGAGAUGGAUGAAGUUAGAAAGCACAACUCUCUGUAUCCUCUUUUUACUUUCUGUUAUUUAUAUUAAAUAAAGUAAAAAUAGUAUUUUCUGUCUACUUUCUGAAUUAUCCUUGCAAUAAAAAAUACCCCGAAAAUAGAAGUUCUCCAAAUGCCCUGAAAAUUUAAUAUGAUUUUUUCCAGAAUAUUUAAGAAUUAUUGGCACUGAGAACACACCAGGGGGACCCACCAUGUGCCCACGAAGGUGGAGGGCGCGCCCCCUGCCUCAUGGACCCAACGUGGGUCCCCUCCACUUAUUCUUGCACCCACACACUUCGUCUUCCUCCAGAGAAAAUCAUCCACCAGCUCAAACCCACGUUCUAGCUCAUCUUGUUGCCACUUUCGAUCUCCUUGCUCAAAGCUCCAUUCACAAAACUGCUUUGGGGGAUUGUCCUUUGGUUUGUGACUCCUCCAAUGGUCCAAUUAGUUUUUGUUCUAGUGCUUUAUUUAUUGCAAAUUUUUGCUGCUUAGGUGACCCUAUUCUUGAGCUUGCAUGUCAAAUUUAUGUGGUCCAACGUAGUUUUAAUGCAUGAUAUAGCCUCUAGGCACUUGUAGGAGUAGUUGCUAUCAAUUUUGUUGAGUUUGGUUCACUUUUAUUUUGAGUUACUGAAAAUUUCAGAAAUUUUUUAGAGGAAGAAAUAUGUUUAGGAAAAUGUACCAAGGUGGUUCCUCAAAGAAGUAAGGACCCAGGCCCGCGAUACGUGGGCCGGACUAUGAACUACCAAGAAAAGAUCAAGUGCGGCCUUGUGAAUGGCCGUCAGAAGAUUUUAUGGUCCAAGCAAGAAUUAAGGAGGAAUUUGACGCGUAUGUGCGUAAUGAUGAACUUGAGGGCUUCGUGUUAGAUAAGUGCCCCCAAUAUUAUCACCUAACUGAUUCCUUUGUGAGAAGGUUUAAAUUUACAUCAUCACACAAUUCUCACACUGUCCUAUUUGAUCCCUAUAAUAAGUCUUAUACCAUGGACUUAGAAGAUUUUAAUACUGCUUGUAAACUCCCGCAGUGGGGUAGUGUUAGUGAACCUCGCAAAUCUGAAUUUAAAGAAUUUCUUGCUAGUAUCACUUGUUGGAAAUAUGCCCUAGAGGCAAUAAUAAAAGCAUUAUUAUUAUAUUUCCUUGUUCAUGAUAAUUGUCUUUAUUCAUGCUAUAAUUGUGUUAUCCGGAAAUUGUAAUACAUGUGUGAAUAAUAGACACCAACAUGUCCCUAGUAAGCCUCUAGUUGACUAGCUCGUUGAUCAACAGAUAGUCAUGGUUUCCUGACUAUGGACAUUGGAUAUCAUUGAUAACGAGAUCACAUCAUUAGGAGAAUGAUGUGAUGGACAAGACCCAAUCCUAAACAUAGCACAAGAUCGUAUAGUUCGUUUGCUAGAGUUUUCCAAUGUCAAUUAUCUUUUCCUUAGACCAUGAGAUCGUGUAACUCCUGGAUACCGUAGGAGUGCUUUGGGUGUACCAAACGUCACAACGUAACUGGGUGACUAUAAAGGUAUACUACGGGUAUCUCCGAAAGUGUCUGUUGGGUUGACACGGAUCAAGACUGGGAUUUGUCACUCCGUAUGACGGAGAGGUAUCACUGGGCCCACUCGGUAAUGCAUCAUCAUAAUGAGCUCAAAGUGACCAAGUGUCUGGUCACGGGAUCAUGCAUUACGGUACGAGUAAAGUGACUUGCCGGUAACGAGAUUGAACGAGGUAUUGGGAUACCAACGAUCGAAUCUCGGGCAAGUAACAUACCGAUUGACAAAGGGAAUUGUAUACGGGGUUGCUUGAAUCCUCGACAUCGUGGUUCAUCCGAUGAGAUCAUCGAGGAGCAUGUGGGAGCCAACAUGGGUAUCCAGAUCCCGCUGUUGGUUAUUGACCGGAGAGUCGUCUCGGUCAUGUCUGCAUGUGUCCCGAACCCGUAGGGUCUACACACUUAAGGUUCGGUGACGCUAGGGUUGUAGGGAUAUGUAUAUGCAGUAACCCGAAUGUUGUUCGGAGUCCUGGAUGAGAUCCCGGACGUCACGAGGAGUUCCGGAAUGGUCCAGAGGUAAAGAAUUAUAUAUAGGAAGUGCUAUUUCGGCCAUCGGGACAAGUUUCGGGGUUAUCGGUAUUGUACCGGGACCACCGGAAGGGUCCCGGGGGUCCACCGGGUGGGUCCACCUGCCCCUGGAGGCCACAUGGGAUGUAGGGGGUGCGCCUUGGCCUACAUGGGCCAAGGGCACUAGCCCCAAGAGGCCCAUGCGCCUAGGGUUCACAAAAGGGAAGAGUCCCACUAGUGGAAGGCACCACCUAGGUGCCUUGGGGGGAGGGAAAGCUCCCUUGGCCGCCGCCCCCCUAGGAGAUUGGAUCUCCUAGGGCCGGCGCCCCCCCCCCUUGGCCCUCCUAUAUAUAGUGGGGGAAGGAGGGCUUUUCAUCCACGCCUUUGGUUGCCUCCUUCUCCCUCUCCAACACCUCCUCCUCCUCCAUAGUGCUUGGCGAAGCCCUGACGGAGUACUGCAGCUCCAUCACCACCACGCCGUCGUGCUGCUGCUGGAGCCAUCUUCCUCAACCUCUCUUUCCCUCUUGCUGGAUCAAGAAGAAGGAGACGUUACGCUGACCGUACGUGUGUUGAACGCGAAGGUGCCGUCCGUUCGGUGCUAGGAUCUCCGGUGAUUUGGAUCACGUCGUGUUCGACUACCUCAUCCUCGUUCUUUGAACGCUUCCGCUCACGAUCUACAAAGGUAUGUAGAUGCAUCCGACCACUCGUUGCUAGAUGAACUCAUAGAUGGAUCUUGGUGAAACCGUUGGAAAAUUUUUGUUUUCUACAACGUUCCCCAUCAGUGGCAUCAUGAGCUAGGUCUAUGCGUAGUUCUUCUUGCGCGAGUAGAACACAAUUUGUUGUGGGCGUAGAUGUUGUCAACUUUCUUGCCAUUACUAGUCUUAUCUUGCUUCAACGGUAUUGUGGGAUGAAGCGGCCCGGACCAACCUUACACAUACUCUUACGUGCGACCGGUUCCACCGACUAACAUGCACUAGUCGCAUAAGGUGGCUGGCGGGUGUCUAUCUCUCCCACUUUAGUUGGAGCGGAUUCUAUGAAAAGGGUCCUUAUGAAGGGUAAAUAGAAGUUGACAAAUCACGUUGUGGCUUUCACGUAGGUAAGAAAACGUUCUUGCUAGAACCCUACUUCAGCCACGUAAAACUUGCAACAACAAUUAGAGGACGUCUAACUUGUUUUUGCAGCAAGUGCUUUGUGAUAUGAUAUGGCCAAGGUUGUGAUGAAUGAUGAAUGAUCUAUAUGUGAUGUAUGAGAUGUUCAUGCUAUUGUAAUAGGAAUCACGACUUGCAUGUCGAUGAGUAUGACAACUGGCAGGAGCCAUAGGAGUUGUCUUUAAUUUUUUUAUGACCUGCGUGUCAUUGAGAAACGCCAUGUAAAUUACUUUACUUUAUUGCUAAACGCGUUAGCCAUAGUAGUAGAAGUAAUAGUUGGCGAGCAACUUCAUGGAGACACAAUGAUGGAGAUCAUGAUGAUGGAGAUCAUGAUGAUGGAGAUCAUGGUGUCAUGCCGGUGACAAGAUGAUCAUGGAGCCCCAAGAUGGAGAUCAAAGGAGUUAUGUCACUAUUAUUAUUUGAUUGCAUGUGAUGUCUAUCAUGUUUUUGCAUCUUGUUUACUUAGAACGAUGGUAGUAAAUAAGAUGAUCCCUCAUAAUAAUUUCAAGAAAGUGUUCCCCCUAACUGUGCACCAUUGCGACAGUUCAUUGUUUCAAUGCACCACGUGAUGAUCGGGUGUUUGAUUCAAAUGUUCACAUACAACGGGUGUAAGACAGAUUUACACAAACAAACACUUAGGUUGACUUGACGAGACUAGCAUGUGUAUAGACAUGGCCUCGGAACACAGAAGACCGAAAGGUCGAGCAUGAGUCGUAUAGAAGAUACGAUCAACAUGAAGAUGUUCACCAACGUUGACUAGUCCGUCUCACGUGAUGAUCGGACACGGCCUAGUCGACUCGGAUCAUGUUAUACUUAGAUGACUAGCAGAGGGAUGUCUAUCUAAGUGGGAGUUCAUUGAAUAAUUUGAUUAGAUGAACUUCAUUAUCAUGAACUUAGUCUAAAAAAUCUUUGCAAUAUGUCUUGUAGAUCAAAUGGCCAACGUAGUCCUCAACUUCAACGCGUUCCUAGAGAAAACCAAGAUGAAAGACGAUGGCAGCAGCUAUAUGGACUGGGUCCGGAACCUGAGGAUCAUCCUCAUAGCUGCCAAGAAAGAAUAUGUCCUACAAGCACCGCUAGGUGACGCACCCGUCCCACAGAACCAAGACAUUAUGAACGCUUGGCAGACACGUGCCGAUGACUACUCCCUCGUUCAGUGUGGCAUGCUUUACACCCUAGAGCCGGGGCUCCAAAAGCGUUUUGAGAGACAUGGAGCAUAUGAGAUGUUCGAAGAGCUGAAAAUGGUUUUCCAAGCUCAUGGCUGGGUCGAGAGAUAUGAAGUCUCCGACAAAUUCUUCAGCUGUAAGAUGGAGGAAAAUAGUUCUGUCAGUGAGCACAUACUCACUAUGUCUGGGUUACAUAACCGCUUGACUCAGCUGGGAGUUAAUCUCCCGGAUGAUGCGGUCAUUGACAGAAUCCUCCAGUCGCUUCCACCAAGCUACAAGAGCUUUGUGAUGAACUUCAAUAUGCAGGGGAUGGAAAAGACCAUUCCUGAGGUAUUUUCAAUGCUGAAAUCAGCAGAGGUAGAAGUCAAGAAGGAACAUCAAGUGUUGAUGGUGAAUAAAACCACUAAGUUCAAGAAGGGCAAGGGUAAAAAGAACUUCAAGAAGGACGGCAAAGGAGUUGCCGCGCCCGGCAAGCAAGCUGCUGGGAAGAAGCCAAAGAAUGGACCCAAGCCCGAGACUGAGUGCUUUUAUUGCAAGGGAAGUGGUCACUGGAAGCGGAACUGCCCCAAAUACUUAGCAGACAAGAAGGCUGGCAAAACGAAAGGUAUAUAUGAUAUACAUGUAAUUGAUGUGUACCUUACUAGUACCCGUAGUAGCUCCUGGGUAUUUGAUACCGGUGCAGUUGCUCACAUUUGUAACUCAAAGCAGGGGCUGCGGAAUAAGCGGAGACUGGCAAAGGACGAGGUGACGAUGCGUGUUGGGAAUGGUUCCAAGGUCAAUGUGAUCGCCGUCGGCACGCUACCUCUACAUUUACCUUCGGGAUUAGUUUUAAACCUUAAUAAUUGUUAUUUAGUGCCAGCUUUGAGCAUGAACAUUGUAUCGGGAUCUCGUUUAAUUCGAGAUGGCUACUCAUUUAAAUCCGAGAAUAAUGGUUGUUCUAUUUAUAUGAGAGAUAUGUUUUAUGGUCAUGCUCCUAUGUUGAAUGGUUUAUUCUUAAUGAAUCUCGAGCGUAAUGCUACACAUAUUCAUAAUGUGAGUACCAAAAGAUGUAAAGUUGAUAAUGAUAGUCCCACAUACUUGUGGCACUGCUGCCUUGGUCACAUAGGUGUCAAACUUAUGAAGAAGCUCCAUGCAAAUGGACUUUUAGAGUCUCUUGAUUACGAAUCAUUUGACACGUGCGAACCAUGCCACAUGGGUAAGAUGACCAAGACUCCGUUCUCAGGAACAAUGGAGCGAGCAACCAACUUAUUGGAAAUCAUACAUACUGAUGUGUGCGGUCCAAUGAGUGUUGAGGCUCGCGGUGGCUAUCGUUAUGUUCUCACCCUCACUGAUGAUUUGAGUAGAUAUGGGUACAUCUACUUAAUGAAACACAAGUCUGAAACCUUUGAAAAGUUCAAGGAAUCAACGUGACAGGAAAAUCAAGUUUCUACGAUCAGAUCAUGGAGGAGAAUACUUGAGUCACGAAUUUGGCACACACUUAAGAAAAUGUGGAAUAGUUUCACAACUCACGCCGCCUGGAACACCUCAGCGUAAUGGUGUGUCCGAACGUCGUAAUCGCACUCUAUUAGAUAUGGUACGAUCUAUGAUGUCUCUUACCGAUUUACCGCUAUCUUUUUGGGGCUAUGCUUUAGAGACUGCCGCAUUCACUUUAAAUAGGGCUCCGUCGAAAUCCAUUGAGACGACACCGUUUGAAUUAUGGUUUGGUAAGAAACCUAAGUUGUCAUUUCUAAAAGUUUGGGGAUGCGAUGCUUAUGUCAAGAAACUUCAACCUGAAAAGCUCGAACCCAAGUCGGAAAAAUGCGUCUUCAUAGGAUACCCUAAAGAAACUGUUGGGUAUACCUUCUACCUCAAAUCCGAAGGCAAGUUCUUUGUUGCCAAGAAUGGAUUCUUUCUAGAGAAAGAGUUUCUCUCAAAAGAAGUAAGUGGGAGGAAAGUAGAACUUGAUGAAGUAUUACCUCUUGAACCGGAAAAUGGUGCAACUCAAGAAAAUGUUCCUGAGGUGCCUGCACCGAAUAGAGAGGAAGUUAAUGAUGAUGAUCUAGAUAUUUCUGAUCAAGCUCCUACUGAAAUUCAUAGGUCCACAAGGACACGUUCCGCACCAGAGUGGUACGGCAACCCUGUCUUGAAAAUCAUGUUGUUGGACAACGGUGAACCUUCGAACUAUGAAGAAGCGAUGGCGGGCCCGGAUUCCGACAAAUGGCUAGAAGCCAUGAAAUCCGAGAUAGGAUCCAUGUAUGAAAAUGAAGUAUGGACUUUGACUGACUUGCCCGUUGAACGGCGAGCCAUAUAAAAUAAAUAGAUCUUUAAGAAGAAGACAGAUGCGGAUGGUAAUGUGACCAUCUAUAAAGCUAGGCUUGUCGCUAAGGGUUAUCGACAAGUUCAAGGGGUUGACUACGAUGAGACUUUCUCACCGGUAGCGAAGCUAAAGUCCGUCUGAAUCAUGUUAGCAAUUGCCGCAUUCUACGAUUAUGAAAUAUGGCAAAUGGACGUCAAAACGGCAUUCCUUAAUGGUUUCCUUAAGGAAGAAUUGUAUAUGAUGCAGCCGGAAGGUUUUGUCGAUCCUAAGAAUGCUAACAAGGUGUGCAAGCUCCAACGCUCGAUUUAUGGGCUGGUGCAAGCAUCUCGGAGUUGGAACAUUCGCUUUGGGCAUAUUUCCAACACAUGCUCCUCUACAUCGCCGCAACCAGCCGGGUGGUCAGCACCGUCAUCGUAGUCCAAUGCCCAGAAGAGGGCCGAGCCCAGCCGGUCUAGAGGCCGGUGUACUAUUUGAGCGAGGUACUGUCCGCCUCGAAGCAGAACUACCCGCACUACCAAAAGAUGUGCUAUGGCGUGUACUUCACCGCCAAGAAGCUGAAGCCCUACUUCCAAGAGUGUCCCAUCACGGUCGUAUGCACCGCCCCGCUGGCCGAGAUCAUAGGCAGCCGGGAUGCAUCCGGCCGGGUGGCGAAAUGGGCCAUCGAGCUGGCCCCUUACAUGAUCUUCUACCAGCCCCGCACCGCCAUCAAGUCCCAGGCAUUGGCCGACUUCCUCGUCGACUGGGCCGAGACCCAGUACCUACCGCCGGCUCCCAACUCCACUCAUUGGCAUAUGCACUUCGAUGGGUCCAAGAUGAGCACCGGUUUGGGAUCCGGCGUCGUCCUCACCUCUCCCAAAGGCGACAAGCUCAGAUACACGCUGCAAAUUCACUUUGCCACCUCCAACAAUGUGGCCGAGUACGAGGCGCUCAUACACGGGCUCCGGCUUGCCAAAGAGCUCGGCAUUCGCCAGAUCCUAUGUUAUGGCGACUCGGACAUGGUGGUCCAGCAAUCAUCCGGCGACUGGGAUGCCAAGGACGCAAAUAUGGCAAGCUACCGCUUCCUCGUUCAACAAAUCAGUGGGUAUUUUGAAGGAUGCGAGUUCCUCCACGUACCGCGAGCCAGCUGAUGCUCUGGCUCGAAUAGGCUCCACCCGGCAAGCAAUACCAACCGGUGUCUCUCUACAACGCCUCCUCAAGCCGUCUAUCAAGCCGUCUCCAGAGUCCGAUUCCAUCUUCAUGCUGCCUGACCCCGACGCGGCCGGGUCUGGCUCGAAGAACCAAGCAGGUGACCCGGGGACUUCGAUAGUCGGCCCAGGGACGUCAGUAGGCGGCUCGGGGACUUCCUAGUUACGCCCGACCCGGGGACUGCCACACCCGGCUCGGGGACUGCGGUAGUCGGCCCGGGGACUGCACCAACACAACAGCCGGCGGCCGACUCCAGCAUUUCACCACCCAGCCCGCCCGCCCUGGUCGCAGUAGCCACAUUGGCAAUAGAAGAAGUCGCAGCUCCAUCAUGGGCUCAGUCCAUCCUCAACUUCCUAAUAAACCAAGACCUGCCGGUUGCUGAAACAGAGGCAAGACAAGUCCAACGCCGAGCCGGAGCAUACACAAUCAUCAACAGAGAGCUCGUCAAGCGCAGUGUCACUGGAGUCCUCCAGCGAUGCGUCAAGCAAGAGAAGGGCAUUGCAAUCCUCAGAGACAUCCACCAAGGAAAAUGCGGCCACCAUGCGGCCUCAAGAUCACUCGUCGCCAAGGCCUUCCGCCAUGGUUUCUUUUGGCCGACUGCUUUGGAUGAUGCCAAGGAGUUAGUUAAACAUUGCAAAGGGUGCCAACUCUUCAGCUCCAAGCAACACAUGCCGGCUUCAGCACUCAAGACCAUCCCCCUCACUUGUCCCUUCGCCGUUUGGGGACUAGACAUGGUGGGCCCAUUCAAGAUGGCGCGCGGCGGCAUGACACAUUUGCUUGUCGCCGUAGACAAAUUCACCAAGUGGAUUAAGGCAAAGCCGAUCAAGAAGCUGAAUGGGCCGACUACCGUAACAUUCAUCGCAGAUAUAACAACUCGGUACGGCGUGCCACACAGCAUCAUCACUGACAAUGGCACGAAUUUCGCCAAGGGAGCCUUGGCACGUUUCUGCGCGACGCAAGGCAUCUGGCUGGACUUAGUGUCCGUCGCCCACCCGCAGUCAAACGGCCAGGUCGAGCGAGCCAACGACCUCAUCCUUUCCGGCAUCAAGCCCCGACUGGUCGUACCACUGGAGCGUUCACCCGGCUGUUGGCUCGAUGAGCUGCCGGCUAUCCUCUGGAGUCUGCGCACUACUCCAAACAAGUCAACCAACUUCACUCCUUUCUUCCUCGUGUAUGGCGCCGAGGAGGUCAUCCCAACCGACAUCGAGUUCGACUCACCUCGGGUAGCCAUGUACUCGGAGGCGGAGGCCAAGGAAGCACGAGAAGACGGCGUCGACCUGCUGGAAGAGGGCCGGCUGUUAGCCCUCAGCCAGUCCGCCAUCUAUCAGCAGGUCCUGCGCCGCUACCACAGCCGGAAGGUCAAGCCAAGAUCCUUCCAAGAGGGUGAUCUUGUGCUCCGGCUGAUCCAGCAAACAGCCGGCCAGCACAAGCUCUCGGCCCCUUGGGAGGGCCCCUUCGUCAUCAGCAGAGCUUUAGGCAACGACUCCUACUACCUAAUCGACGCGCAGAAGCCGAAGGCACGAAAGAGAGAUGACUCCGGCAAGGAGUCGGAACGACCAUGGAACGCCAACCUCCUCCGAAGAUUUUACAGUUGAAAUGCAGUAUGUAUCACGCUAACUUUUGUACUAAGUAUGAGACAAUAGGCCCCCCGAGGAGAGCUCGGGGACUGCCAUCUUUUAUCUAUGAAUGAAGAAUAUCAUGCUUAUGACCUUGUCAUUAUAUUUACUCUUUUCGUCCGGCACCGGGUUCGACUAGUCGGCCCGGGGACUGGCCGCCUAGAGUUAUAUUAGAAGUCCUACCCGCGGUCAGACAAGUAGUGUGCCGGCACCCAAGCCUUCUCUUGCCAAAAGUCGCAGUUUGAAGAACCGACUGUCCGGCUGGCAAGAGUUAAAAGCAAGAAAGGACGCCCACACGAAAAACGGCUAGGGACUAAUGGACUAAUAUAACAAAAGCCGGUUUUUCUCCCACCACCAACCGACUACCAGAGUAGCCGGCUGGCCGGCUUCCAUUCACCUCACUUCAGUCCAAGAAAGCUCGAGUACUUGCCUCCCCAAAAGGGGAAGGCGGCAAAGGAAACAGCCUAAGGAUAAAAAGCAUACGUGAAUGAAAACCAAACAUGCACACAAUCAUAUUUACAUAAAAGACCUUCAAGAGGCCAGCAUUCAACAUAGUUUGGAUACACCCCCAGUGGGUGGAACUGCGAAAGCUUAAUAAAAUUGUUCAGAAGGCAACAAGUAGGAAAAAACGAGGAUGGCAGAUUAAGCCGGGGGAGCGACUGACGAGCCGGGCAGGUCGGUGGAGACGGCAGUGCCGGCUGGAGGAGUGGCCGGCUGACGAACCUCGGCAUGAUCACCGCCUUCCACAGAGGGCGUGCUAGCCCGCGCCUUGUUGCUAGAGGCACGAUCAGGCUGAGGCCGGCUGGCCGCUUCACCGGCCGGCUCAACGUCUUCGCCCUGCUCUCCUUCGUCGUCUUCGCCUUCAUCGCUGGAGGCGAUCUCCUCUGCCGAGUCUUCACCCGCUGCCGGGUCCAGCCCAAACCACUCCUCCGGCUGGGCAACACCGUCAUCAUUAAUUUCCGGAGCCAAGACACUGAUGUCAGUACACUCGGUGAUCGUCGAAGCGCGCUGAGCGAUAGCCGGCCGCACCUCCUCCGGCUCUUCGUUGGCCUCCAGCCGCCAGGUGUGCAGCUGGUCCAGGUUUAGCCCCGGAUACCAAGCUCGGACGAACUCCAGCGCCCGCCCAGCUCCAAGCCGGGCUGCCGAUGCCUUCCAGGCCUCGAAGCGGCCAACCGCAACCUCCAGCUAGUCGGCAGUCCGGCCUGGGGUGCGGGGAAUCGUCUCGCCUGGCCAGAGGGCGGCCAACACCUGUGCUCCGGCGCGCUGGAGGUGGCGGAGCAUAUGAUGUGCCGGCUGCAGUCAGGCUUGGACCGCCAAGAGUUGCUCUUCGAGCGUCCGACUCGCGUCCGGCGCGACUUCAGCCCCCCUCUGCCGGCGCGCUUCACAAUGGGCCUCGAUGGUUUGGGCGGCGAAGACGGAGUAGCCGGGAAAGUAGUCUACGCGGAGAACAAAAAGCACCACAAGUCAGAACACAAAUCAGGCGGCAAGGGGCAACCAAGGAGCGAGGAAGGCAGCUUACCGUCGAUCAAAUCCUCAAUACGGCCGAAGCCCUCAUUCAGCGCUUGCCUGGUCUUAGCCCAGCUCGCCGCUUCAGUCUCGAACUCGGCCUUCAGGGCGGCUUCGUUAUCCUAUGCCUUCUUCAGGGCCGCCUUGUGGCUCUCCUCCUGGUCAGCCAGCUUCUUGGCUAGGCGUUCACGCUCCAGGACCAAGGCGUCGUACUUGGUUUCCUUGGCGCGAAGGGCGGCCUGCGCCUCGCUGAGCUGCCCCCUCAAGUCAGCAUUGGCUCCUGCGAGCACGAAAGACAAAAGAAAAACCAAUAAGGUGAAGUCGUCAGGGAAGAUCCGACCCGACUGCUCAGCAGUUGGCCCGAAUCUCUAGGACUACACCCAGUGGGUGCGCUAACGCGCCCCCACAGGAGAUGAACGAAACCAAGUAUGCACUCCGGCUGCUGAUCAGGUCUUCGGUUCUCCGGCUCAGCUCCUGAGCCUGGGAGUUGAAGGCGGCAGCGCGGAGGUUAUGAUACUCCUGGAAGAGUAGACAGGAGGCGAGAAUAAGAUAGUCGUCAAGAAAGAUCCGACCCGACUGCUCAGCAGUCGGCCCGGAUCUCGGGGACUACACCCAGUGGGUGCACUGAUGCGCCCCCACGGAAAUAAUCAAAGAGCAAAAACAACCCAGGUCAGAAGACUCACCCGGAUGACGGCCCGUGUCGCAAGGAACUCCUGGGUGUAUUGCUGCAGCGAGGCGGCUUGGGCCUGAAGCCGGUUCCGAACCUCUUGGGCCGCCACGUUCAGCUCGCCCGUCCCCCCGCUGGGAGUCCACUCGGAUGUGCCGGUGCUGGCCGCCUCCAGGGCCUCCGCCGUCUGGCUGGCACCCGUAACUCGGUGCGGCUCCGGUGCAGUGGUGCCUCCCCCUGCACAUCGUCGCAUUGCCGGCUGCACCUCGAGGCCGGCUCCUGCUUCCGGCUCACCCCCAGCCGGCUGCUUUGGCGCCGCAGCGGAUUGGCCGCUUUGGCCCGCCCCAGUCGGUGCUGUCUGCGGCGUCCCUUCCACGGAGGCCACAUGGACCUCCCUCCUCUCCAUCACCGGCGGUUAUUGGUCGACCUCCUCCAACGGAGGCGCAGGGAUGUUGGGGGCCACGGCGCGGAGGGGAAUGACGAGCAGCGGAGGCGGUUUGUGCGAGGCUUCCGCCUCCGUCUCCGCGGCUGCCGCGUCCGCCCGGGCCUUAGCCGCCGCGUCGGCUUGCUCCUUCGUUGCCUGGGCGGUCCUCCGCUCCGCCGCCUCCCGCUCCUCCCGCGCCUCCCGUGCGUUCCACUCCGUGGCCUCCCUAAGGUCGGCACGGGGAUCCACGCGACGGGAGCCUGAAGACCCUCCAGUCGGCCCGACUACAGAGCCGCCCGGACCCCGCUCAAGGGAAAGCGGUGCCCUGUCCGGUGAGCAAAGGGGUUUAGAAGAGUUUCGGUCGAAAGGGACAACAAAAAAUACAUAUACAAAGCAUUCGACGACUUACGCCGAGAUCUCCUGCGGCUGUUUCACCGCCUUGCGGAAGCGGGCCGCCUUCGCGGCCGCCUCAUCUCGCUUGGUCGCCGCUGUGGAAGCCUUGGAUUUCUUCGGCCGGCUGCCGAAGAGGAUUGACGCGGCCCGGCGCUUCUGCGAGCCGCCACAGGCGGCCGAUGCGGCGGACGAGUUCGUGCCUUGAUGAUCAGGUGCCGGCUAGCGGCGCGGGGCGACUUCGACCUCGGCAUCGUCCAGCCAGUCCUCGAAGCCGGCCGUGAGCCCCGUGCCUCCGGCCUCGUUGCUUUCCCCCACAAUGGCGUCUUCCAUGGCGGCCGCACCCAGGUCCGGGUCGUCGGCGUCGUCCACCAUGCGGUCGGGGAGGAGCUAACGCUCUACCCCUGCGGCCACGGUCGUCGGCGGAAGGAGAGGGUUCUGCCAAGGGAGAACCAACUAAUCAGAAGUCGGCUAUCAUGAGGCCGGCUACCAACGGAAGAGAAGAAGGAAAAACUUACGACAGGCGGAGGGUUGGCGCGAGAGUACGGCUCCUUGCCGUAUCGCCAGUCCUCGGCGAGCUUGUAGUUGGAGAUAUAGUUCACCAUGUAAGACACCUCUGCAUGAGGCAUCUCCCUGGUGCUCAGCCGACAUGGGUCGAAGCGGCCGCUCAUCUGACAAAUCAUGUGAGGCCGGCUUUGGAGGGGAAGUACCCGGCGCUCCAUGAAGGCGGCCACCAAGUCGGCUCCGGUCAGGCCCUCCGACUGGAUCAUCACCCGAAGCCGGGAGACGGCUGCGUUCCCGGCCUGAGACAACGACCUGGCCCGGUAGCUCCACGAAGGUCGCCUCCCAGCCGGCGGGCCGGCUUCAUAAGCUGGCAGGUUGACGUAGUCGCCUUGCUGCGCGACGUUCUUCACGUAAAAGUAAGACUUCUGCCAGAGCUUCACCGACUGGAUCAGCGGGAUGGGCGGGAACGGGUUGUUCUCGCCCGACCGCCUCAUGGCAAUAUAGGCUCCGCAGGGGGCGGGCACGCCCGCGACGACGGUGCCGAGCUUGCUCUGGAAGAAUUCCCCCCAGAGCUCGAGCGUGGGGAGGACCCCAAGGAAGCCCUCGCACAGGGUGACGAAGGCCGACAGCAGCAGCACCGCAUUGGGCGUGAGGUGAUGCGGCUGGAGGUUGUAGAAUUCGAUAAAGGCUCGAAGGAACCCGCUCGCCGGAAGGCCGAAGCCGCGCAGGCAGUGCGAGCGGAAGAUCACCCGCUCGCCCUCCUCCGGUGCUGGCGAAAUCUCCUUCUCCGGCGCUUGACGAACCCGCACGAACUUCUCGCCGGGCAGGCAUCGCGUCUGGCGGAGGAACUCGACGUGGUCCUCGUGGACGUUGGAGCCAUCCCACGAGCUCAACAGCGCCAUGGGAGCAAGACGAUGCGGCGGCGGAACGGCGCAGCGGUGGGUGGCUGCGGCGGCAAGAAGAAGAAGAAGGAAGACGAGGAGGGGCGAAGCGAGGGAGAGCGUGCGAACCCCUGUCUCUCCCCCUCCUCCCCCUACUUAUAGACCGGCGUGGCGGAGCCGAGGAGGCGUGGCGUGGGGGGAACGUGGGGAUCAACUGUGCCCACUCCCCCAUGUCCCGCGAUCAUUGUGCCCUAAUGGCGUAAUAAAAUCUGUUGGAAAUAUGCCCUAGAGGCAAUAAUAAAAGCAUUAUUAUUAUAUUUCCUUGUUCAUGAUAAUUGUCUUUAUUCAUGCUAUAAUUGUGUUAUCCGGAAAUCGUAAUACAUGUGUGAAUAAUAGACACCAACAUGUCCCUAGUAAGCCUCUAGUUGACUAGCUCGUUGAUCAAUAGAUAGUCAUGGUUUCCUGACUAUGGACAUUGGAUGUCAUUGAUAACAAGAUCACAUCAUUAGGAGAAUGAUGUGAUGGACAAGACCCAGUCCUAAACAUAGCACAAGAUCGUAUAGUUCGUUUGCUAGAGUUUUCCAAUGUCAAGUAUCUUUUCCUUAGACCAUGAGAUCGUGUAACUCCCGGAUACCGUAGGAGUGCUUUGGGUGUACCAAACAUCACAACGUAACUGGGUGACUAUAUAGGUAUACUACGGGUAUCUCCAAAAGUGUCUGUUGGGUUGACACGGAUCAAGACUGGGAUUUGUCACUCCGUAUGACGGAGAGGUAUCACUGGGCCCACUCGGUAAUGCAUCAUCAUAAUGAGCUCAAAGUGACCAAGUGUCUGGUCACGGGAUCAUGCAUUACGGUACGAGUAAAGUGACUUGCCGGUAACGAGAUUGAAUGAGGUAUUGGGAUACCGACGAUCGAAUCUCGGGCAAGUAACAUACCGAUUGACAAAGGGAAUUGUAUACGGGGUUGCUUGAAUCCUCGACAUCGUGGUUCAUCCGAUGAGAUCAUCGAGGAGCAUGUGGCAGCCAACAUGGGUAUCCAGAUCCCGCUGUUGGUUAUUGACCGGAGAGUCGUCUCGGUCAUGUCUGCAUGUCUCCCGAACCCGUAGGGUCUACACACUUAAGGUUCGGUGACGCUAGGGUUGUAGGGAUAUGUAUAUGCAGUAACCCGAAUGUUGUUCAGAGUCCCGGAUGAGAUCCCGGACGUCACGAGGAGUUCCGGAAUGGUCCGGAGGUAAAGAAUUAUAUAUAGGAAGUGCUAUUUGGGCCAUCGGGACAAGUUUCGGGGUUAUCAGUAUUGUACCGGGACCACCGGAAGGGUCCCGGGGGUCCACCGGGUGGGUCCACCUGCCCCGGGGGGCCACAUGGGCUGUAGGGGGUGCACCUUGGCCUACAUGGGCCAAGGGCACCAGCCCCAAGAGGCCCAUGCACCUAGGGUUCACAAAAGGGAAGAGUCCCACUAGUGGAAGGCACCUCCUAGGUGCCUUGGGGGGGAGGGAAACCUCCCUUGGCCGCCGCCCCCCUAGGAGAUUGGAUCUCCUAGGGCCGGCGCCCCCCCCCCUUGGCCCUCCUAUAUAUAGUGGGGGAAGGAGGGCUUUUCAUCCACACCUUUGGUUGCCUCCUUCUCCCUCUCCAACACCUCCUCCUCCUCCAUAGUGCUUGGCGAAGCCCUGACGGAGUACUGCAGCUCCAUCACCACCACGCCGUCGUGCUGCUGGUGGAGCCAUCUUCCUCAACCUCUCUUUCCCUCUUGCUGGAUCAAGAAGAAGGAGACGUUACGCUGACCGUACGUGUGUUGAACGCGGAGGUGCCGUCCGUUCGGUGCUAGGAUCUCCGGUGAUUUGGAUCACGUCGUGUUCGACUACCUCAUCCUCGUUCUUUGAACGCUUCCGCUCGCGAUCUACAAAGGUAUGUAGAUGCAUCCGACCACUCGUUUCUAGAUGAACUCAUAGAUGGAUCUUGGUGAAACCGUAGGAAAUUUUUUGUUUUCUGCAACGUUCCCCAUCAGUGGCAUCAUGAGCUAGGUCUAUGUGUAGUUCUUCUUGUGCGAGUAGAACACAAUUUGUUGUGGGCGUAGAUGUUGUCAACUUUCUUGCCGUUACUAGUCUUAUCUUGCUUCAGCGGUAUUGUGGGAUGAAGCGGCCCGGACCAACCUUACACGUACGCUUACGUGAGACCGGUUCCACCGACUAACAUGCACUAGUCGCAUAAGGUGGCUGGCGGGUGUCUGUCUCUCCCACUUUAGUUGGAGCGGAUUCGAUGAAAAGGGUCCUUAUGAAGGGUAAAUAGAAGUUGACAAAUCACGUUGUGGCUUUCACGUAGGUAAGAAAACGUUCUUGCUAGAACCCUACUUCAGCCACGUAAAACUUGCGACAACAAUUAGAGGACGUCUAACUUGUUUUUGCAGCAAGUGCUUUGUGAUAUGAUAUGGCCAAGGUUGUGAUGAAUGAUGAAUGAUCUAUAUGUGAUGUAUGAGACGUUCAUGCUAUUGUAAUAGGAAUCACGACUUGCAUGUCGAUGAGUAUGACAACCGGCAGGAGCCAUAGGAGUUGUCUUUAAUUUUUGUAUGACCUGCGUGUCAUUGAGAAACGCCAUGUAAAUUACUUUACUUUAUUACUAAACGCGUUAGCCAUAGUAGUAGAAGUAAUAGUUGGGGAGCAACUUCAUGGAGACACAAUGGUGGAGAUCAUGAUGAUGGAAAUCAUGGUGUCAUGCCGGUGACAAGAUGAUCAUGGAGCCCCAAGAUGGAGAUCAAAGGAGCUAUGUGAUAUUGGCCAUAUCAUGUCACUAUUAUUACUUGAUUGCAUGUGAUGUUAUCAUGUUUUUGCAUCUUGUUUACUUAGAACGACGGUAGUAAAUAAGAUGAUCCCUCAUAAUAAUUUCAAGAAAGUGUUCCCCCUAACUGUGCACCGUUGCGACAGUUCAUUGUUUCAAUGCACCACGUGAUGAUCGGGUGUUUGAUUCAAAUGUUCACAUACAACGGGUGUAAGACAGAUUUACACAUGCAAACACUUAGGUUGACUUGACGAGCCUAGCAUGUGUAUAGACAUGGCCUCGGAACACAGAAGACCGAAAGGUCGAGCAUGAGUCGUAUAGAAAAUACGAUCAACAUGAAGAUGUUCACCAACAUUGACUAGUCCGUCUCACGUGAUGAUCGGACACGGCCUAGUCGACUCGGAUCAUGUUAUACUUAGAUGACUAGCAGAGGGAUGUCUAUCUAAGUGGGAGUUCAUUGAAUAAUUUGAUUAGAUGAACUUCAUUAUCAUGAACUUAGUCUAAAAAAUCUUUGCAAUAUGUCUUGUAGAUCAAAUGGCCAACGUAGUCCUCAACUUCAACGCGUUCCUAGAGAAAACCAAGCUGAAAGACGAUGGCAGCAACUAUACAGACUGGGUCCGGAACCUGAGGAUCAUCCUCAUAGCUGCUAAGAAAGAAUAUGUCCUACAAGCACCGCUAGGUGACGCACCCGUCCCACAGAACCAAGACGUUAUGAACGCUUGGCAGACACGUGCCGAUGACUACUCCCUCGUUCAGUGCGGCAUGCUUUACAGCCUAGAGCUGGGGCUCCAAAAGCGUUUUGAGAGACAUGGAGCAUAUGAGAUGUUCGAAGAGCUGAAAAUGGUUUUCCAAGCUCAUGCCCGGGUCGAGAGAUAUGAAGUCUCUGACAAAUUCUUCAGCUGUAAGAUGGAGGAAAAUAGUUUUGUCAGUGAGCACAUACUCACUAUGUCUGGGUUACAUAACCGCUUGACUCAGCUGGGAGUUAAUCUCCCGGAUGAUGCGGUCAUUGACAGAAUCCUCCAGUCGCUUCCACCAAGCUACAAGAGCUUUGUGAUGAACUUCAAUAUGCAAGGGAUGGAAAAGACCAUUCCUGAGGUAUUUUCAAUGCUGAAAUCAGCAGAGGUAGAAGUCAAGAAGGAACAUCAAGUGUUGAUGGUGAAUAAAACCACUAAGUUCAAGAAGGGCAAGGGUAAAAAGAACUUCAAGAAGGACGGCAAAGGAGUUGCCGCGCCCGGCAAGCAAGCUGCUGGGAAGAAGCCAAAGAAUGGACCCAAGCCCGAGACUGAGUGCUUUUAUUGCAAGGGAAGUGGUCACUGGAAGCGGAACUGCCCCAAAUACUUAGCAGACAAGAAGGCCGGCAAAACGAAAGGUAUAUAUGAUAUACAUGUAAUUGAUGUGUACCUUACUAGUACCCGUAGUAGCUCCUGGGUAUUUGAUACCGGUGCAGUUGCUCACAUUUGUAACUCAAAGCAGGGGCUACGAAAUAAGCGGAGACUGGCAAAGGACGAGGUGACGAUGCGCGUCGGGAAUGGUUCCAAGGUCAAUGUGAUCGCCGUCGGCACGCUACCUCUACAUUUACCUUCGGGAUUAGUUUUAAACCUUAAUAAUUUCUUGCUAGUAUCACUGUGGGGGGAUCUAGAGAAAUAACACAAGCUACCAUAGGGAGCAUUCAUUUUCCUGCCAUACAUUAUUUUGCUCUCUUUAUAGGUAGAUGCAUAAAAAGGUAGGGAUGAGGCAUGUCAUAUGUGUGUUCCGGAUCUUAGUGUUCUCAGGAGUGUUGUAUUAGGAGAUAGACAAUAUAACUUGGGGCCAUUGUUGCACGUAGGUUGCAUAAUAACAAUAUUAAUGGAGAUUUGUUCAAUGGAAUUUACACAACCCGUUUAGCUAAUUUUCUUGAGGUACCCAUACAUGGAAAUGAUAUGGAGUUGCCUCCUGCUUAUGUAGAUUAUAAUGAUAUGGUUCGUCAUCAGUUUGUUGAGAGGAACGAACAGUUCCUCCAAUACCGACUAAUCUUUGACAGGCGUCGCACUGUCCAUGUUGCCCCCUGCUCCUGGUUUCUUUAACUUUCAGGCAAAAAGGAUAUAUAUUAUAACCAGGGAGGAGGCGAACGAGUAUGAGAGGAGGACGGAGGCAGCUUGCCUCCAAGCUGCAGCUCAUGAGGCAAUUGCCGCUGCAUCUCAGUACGACCCCAGCUACAACUUCGAUCUGUGGGCAUGGACCAACUUAGGCCAAAAGCCUAAGCUUGGGGGAGUAUGUAUCUCUCACCGACAUUACAUUCAUGUUCACACACUCAUGCCAGAUGUCGGUGCUCAUACUUUUUCAUUGUACUAUCCAUGCUAGUUUAAUUUCAUUUUAAGCUUUCUUCUUGUGUGUUGGAAAAACCUUAAAAAACAAAAAAAAAA